rnacentral:lncRNA from 1 species
UAAAAUAAUUUUUGACCGUAAAUAUCCUUAUUCAUUAUUCAGUUCAUCAUAAUUUUACCUUCAGCCGAAACUCAAAACUCUUUAAAAUAGUGUAAUUGACUUUAACUUAGCCUAUCCCAAACAGAAGUAUCUUAUGAAGAAAAAAUAAUUAAAAUUAUAAAAUAUUAAUUUAUCUCUCACACUUCUACCUUUUAUGCCAUUCACUUCAUAUCAAGCAAAUAGCAAAAUUGAAGGAAUCUUCAAUUCCGCAGCUAUACAAACAAACAAUGCAAGGGAAGUAACUUUCAAUUGAAUUCUAGAUCACUCGAAAAUCUAGUUUAACUCCCGUCCCUCAACAUAGAAAUGGGGCCUCUUUAUCUGAAUUUCAUCUUCAGUGAACCAAAUGGGGCACCGNUAAAAUUUAAAAUUAUAUGUUUUAAUUUUUCAAAUUAUAAAUUCCAAAUUUUUAAUUUUUAAUUUUAAUUUUUUAAAUUUUAAUUUUAAAAUUUAAACUUUAUUUUUUAAAUUUUAAUUAUUCAAAAUUUUUAAUUUUUAAUUUUAAAUUUCAAAUUAUUUUAAAUUUUAAAAUUAAAAAAUUUAGAUUUAAAUUUUCAAAUGUCUCAAAUUUUAAAUUUAGAUUUUAAAUUUGAAAUUAAAAAUUUAUAUUUAGCAUUAAAAAUUCAAAAUUUAAAAUUUUAAUUUUAAAUUUUUAAAUUUAUUUUUGAAAUUAAAAUAUCAAAAUUUAAAUUUAAUUCAAAAUUUAAAUUAUUUUAAAAUAAAAUUUAGUAAAAUUAUUAUUAUAUGCAAACAUCAAAAUUUUUUUGUUAAAUAGUUUUACAAAAUUAUUUCAGAAAAUUUUUUUUUAUCUAAACUCAGCCAAACGCUCUACAGUUUUUAACUAAAAUCACUUCUCCAAACUAAAAUUAAUUUUGCAGAAAUCACUUUUUCAGAAUCUAGGCCGAAUGGCCUGUAAUCUCACUCGGUCUGUCGGUCAUAUUGGAUAAGGCCUAAAUUGCUUUUUUUUCAAAAAAAAAAAAAAAAAAAAAAAAACCUACAAAGUUGGGUAGGCUUGGGCCAAGCAAAUGAAAUCCUGGUUGGAACCUAUAAUAUCACUGACCAAAAACUUAGCUUGAUGUUUGCUCAGGGCUAACAAGGCCCCUCAAAAUAAAAUGUUGAGUUAUCAAGCAUGAAUUUGUCACAAAUUGAAUUUUAGUUUGUGAGUUACUAAAGUCAAUUUGCCAACUCCAUUUAAACUCUCCAAAGUAAAAAUGAUGUGACAAUUAAUUUAAUUGUCAUGUAAUCUCCAAGAUAAUAUAUAGCACGAAAUGAUGCUAUUAGAUAUAAAUAUUAAAAAUACCGUUCAUUGAUAACAUAUUAAAUUAUACAAAACUAUCAUUUAUCUCCAGAAUCUUAGGCUAUCAGAGAACGAUGUUUAAUUUUUAUAUUCAAAACUCUCCUUAGGUUUGGGUUGAGAGUUUUUGACAAGCCCAAGAGAUAGAGUUAAGUUAAUUUUUUGACAAGCACAAAAUAUAGGCUCUCAGUGCCUCUUGUUUUAAAUAAAAUAGUUAUUUUUUAAAAAAGCUUAAACUAUUAAAUAACGAUAUUUUUAUAUUUUUAUAUUGAACACAAAUGCUAAUUCGGUUAGGGGCCGUUUGGUUUGAUGUAAUUACAAAUACAGUAUAGUUGGAGAUACAUGCAAUUGGAAAUAUAAUAGUUGCAACUUUAUGCAUCCUAUUUGGUUCGAUGUAGUAAAAAAUAUUGCAAUUAUAAAUAAUUUAUUUGGUUGUAUACAGUUGAGAAAUAAUUUUUAAAAUUUUAUCAUUAUAUAUAUGAUGGUGAGAUUACCUCCAAUGUGAAAAAGAAAAUAUUUUUUAUUUAAUAAAUAAUUAAGGAGAUAAAUAUUUUUUUUGUUUGAGAAAAAACUUCAAAUAUAAACUUCAAAUAUCACCCCUAUGAUUUUGCACAUUCUAACUUUAGUACCCUACGGUUUAAAGUGUAUCACUUUUAUAUACCCUGUGGUUUUAUUUUUCUCUUUUUGUUAUCCACUCUACUAACUUUUUCGUUAAAUCAGCGACAAAAUUAAAACUAAAGGUUAUUAAAGUGAAUAUUCGAUAAACUAUAGGUAAGGUAUCUGAAGUUUUUUGUACAUGAUUUAACGAAAAGUUAACGAAGAGUCUUACAAAAAGCGAAAAAUGAAACCACAGGGUACUAAAUUGAUACACUUUAAACCACAGGGUACUAAAUUGAGAAAGUGCGAAUCACAGGGGUGGUAUUUGAAGUUGCCCUUUGUUUAAAGUUAUUCUCUGUAACGUCCCAAUAGUCUCACAUCGGAUGGGAAAUGAUUUUGAUUAGAAUAUACGAGGCCUGAACGCUAGUAAUAAUAAUUAGGCUUAAGCAUUUUAGGAGGGUAGUUUGGGCCCAAUGAGUUAUUAUUAUUUGCUGUUCGAAUUGUUAUAUUCUUCCCAACUGUUGUAGUUAAAACUAUGGCUAAUUUGAAAACACUAAAUGGCUUAUAGUUGAGACUUGAGAGUAUAUCCAUACAUUUUUUUUCUUUUCUUUUUUUGGAAUCAAUGUGAUGCGUCAACAAGCACUCUUCUCACCUUUAUGUAAAGUAUAAAAGUAAAGGAAACAUGACAGUACUAUGACUCUAUGAGCACUAGUGCUCAACACAAGUGUGUGGAAGUGCUUUUGUACUAUUCACUCACUAGCUAAAGAAAUGGGUUAUAAAAGCAUAUGAGACCUUUUUAAGCUAUGCAAAGUUUCAAGUCAUACUUUUUAUGAUUGAUCAACACAUUAAAGCUUAUCUUUUAGAUAUUGUAUUCAGUGCGCGAACGUUCGGGUCGAAAUGAGCUCCAAAUCGAUCGCUUCUUUAAUAAACAAGCAGAAUACGAGUUGAAUUUUUCAACUCGAAAUUUUAAUGCGUUAAACAUAGGAGGGGAUCAACUUGCUCGUAUUUAGCUCGAUAUUUUAACGAGUGUUCAGCUCGUUUAACAAACGAACGAGCAUGAGUCGGCUUUAGCUCGCUCGUGUUUGGCUCGUUGACGGCCCUAAUUAUGUGGGCGGGGAAUAAACUGUUUUUUAUUUUUCUUGAUAUAGAUACAAUUUUUGAGGUAAGAAAAAAUUGAACCAAAUUCCGCAUUUGAACGAGAAUUAGGUUAUUCCUAGAAAAAAGAACAAUAAUAUUUCAAUGGUUAAAUUGGAAUGGCAAAAAUAAGAGUAAUUAAAAUAAUAAUAUUUUAUCUAGUUAAAUAACAUCAAAAUCAAAAUAUUAAUUAAAUGAUAAACUAAUUAAUCAUGAAUACGGUAUAAGAUAAUGGAGAAGUACAUUAAUUAAAAAUUAACUAUAAAAAUCAAUUGAACUUAUUAAUUAAUUAGUUAAAUUAUUUACUUAGUUAGGUAAUUAGUAAUUACUUAAGAAAAUAAUACAGAAUGAGUAAUUAGAUUAGUUAAAAUAUUAAUUGAUUAAUCAAUAUAAAUAUUAGCUAUUGCAUAAACAAUUAAGCCUUCAAUUAGUUAAUUAAUUAUGAAUAAUAAAUUAUUUUUUAAAAUAGUUAAUUAAAUAUUUAGUAAUUUAAUAAAUUAAAAGUGGUUAACUAUUUACCUAGUUAAGUAGUAAAUAAAUUAUUAUAUAAUAAUAUUUUAUUAGUAAGUAAAAGAGGAGUAUGGACUAUAGAGUGGAAUUAUUUUUCUACCUAAAAUGGUGAAACAAUAGUGUGACACCCCAUUAGUCCCACAUCGGAUGGGAAUGGGGUUGUCAUUGGGUUUAUAAGAGACUUAGACACUAGUAAUAAUAACUGGGCUUAAGCAUUUUGGGCCGGUUGUUGGGCCCAACGAGUUAUUGUUGCUAGUGGGCUGGGUCGUUACAUUUGGUAUCAGAGCCGGUUCACCAGCUGGACAUGUGUGGCGAGUCUCGGCUGAGCCAGGGUCUGGAUGACGGGCUAGCGAGACGAGUCUCACAUCGCCUAGUAUUUUGGGCCGGUUGUUGGGCCCAACGAGUUAUUGAUAAUUUUGGUUUGGAAAAAUAAUUUUGGGGAUUAAUAGGGGGGGUGGGCGGGGGAUAUCGCCUUAUCCCCCAACUAAACACCACCUUAACUCUUAUGAGAAAAAAACCGACCGUCCCUAGAGCAAGUGGCAAAGGGCUUGGUGGUUGGUAUCUGAGACCCAAGUUCAAAUCCUAAUUGAUUCACAUUUGUAACUAAGUUUAUUUCUAAAUAAAGUAAACGAAACAGGUAGCGUACUAUUUAUCUCUCUCAAAAAAAAAAAAAAAACUCUUAUGAGAAAAAAAAUUAUUGGGAAAACUAUAGCAUUAAUAGAGAGAAAAGAAAAGAAAAGAAAAGAAAAACUCCGACGUCUAAAACAAUCAAAAUAAGAACUAGAUAGCAUUGAGAAUUCCAUCCAAAAAUUAAAAAUAUUCAUUUGAACAUUAAAUUAAAAAUAUUGUUGCUUAUUUUUGCUUAAAGAGAAAGUAGGUUCAAACUCAUGUACAAGCAAAUUAGAGAAGAGUAUGAUUUUGGAGUUUGUAAUAACCAGAGAGCCUAAACUUAGCUCUAGUAAAAGAAAAACAAUACAAAUAAUCAAUAGCGAGUGUCCCAUUUAUAUCAAAUUUUUUUUUAAAAAAAUUUAGUAAAGUGUAAAUAUAAAGGUCCAAUCCAACCAAAAAUAAAAAAUUCAUCUACUCAAUCAACCUCACCAGGCCUGAUUGCAAAUAGAAAAGGAAAAACAAAAGAAAAAUUAAUCACCAUCUCUCCUUCUUCUCCUUUUCCGCCGUAACCGAUGAGGUAGGAUUUCGACGGUUGGAGUUCGGCCGCGAGAAUCUCGCAGGGACCGUAGAGGACUACGAUCGCCACGUGUCCCUCCGCCACAGGUCGCUGGAGGAGUGGAUGCUAAACAUCCAAGCGGCCCCAUAUAUAGCGGUCCCACAUAUAGCAACACUUUUAAAAAGUAUCGAUAAUUUAGCCAGUAUGUACGGAUAUUUAAAAGUGUCGCUACAUACCCUUUUUGUUGUAGUGAAUAUCAAUUGAAAUGUACUUAUAAUAUAUAAAUACUAUUACAUACGCAUAUGAUGAUGAUUUUAUAAAAUUAUAGAGCCUAUUAGGAUUUAAUUAAUCGAGUCCAAAUUGGGCUAGAGAAUUUUGGAGGUUGCGAAGUAUUUGAGAAUAUAAAGCUAAAUUGUGCAUAAAGAAGAAAAAUAAUUAGAAUUAGAAUGAUGAUAACGACGAUUAUAAUGAGACAACAACAACACGCUAAUAAUGUCACAAAUAUAAUAGUUAUAAUGAUAUAAAUUUAUACAAAAUUUGUAAGAGUCUUGGUGCAAUUACUAUUUUCUUAAAGAACACGAUUAAAUAAGAUUUGUAAAAGUUAACCUCGUUCGCGAAACCCCAUCAUCUUCUAAUAAUAUCGGACGGCCAUGAAAGCAAAUGAUAUUUGUUUAUAUCAAUACAUGGAAAUGAUAUCGACAAUGGUGAUAACAACUAUAUUAACAUACUAAUAAGAGUCCCGCUACUACGCUAUCGGUAGCACGGAGCGCUCCGUGCUACUGAGUUGUUUUCGAUGAUGCGGCUUCCAAAUCGACGAUCGGCUCCAUUAGACUUGAUCUACACUAUUGAAAAUAUUUGGAAAUUAAAUUUCAGAUUUUUUUCGACAUCAUUUGACUAGUGAUCAAAAGAUCUCAAAAUUGACAAUUUUCGUGAUCGAUGUGGUGUGUUUGUGAGUUUAACGGUGUAAAACAAUCCAAAUGCGAUGAAAAUUUUAUAGAAAAUUCUUUUCACUAUUUAGAGUAAGAUCAGUAUAUCUGAUCUUGAAUUUAAAUCUUUUAUCAUUAUUUUCAUGAGAUUUUUAUUUUCAGCCGUUCAAUUUUAGACUACUUGUUUGAUAGGUAAAUGAUAUCGAAAAAUAUGAAACUUAGUUUCUAAAUACUUUCAAUAGUGUAGAUCAAGUCUAACGGAGUCGAUCGUCGAUUUGAAAGCCGCAUCAUCGAAAACAACUUGGUACCACGGAGCGCUCCGUACUACCGAUAGUAUAGUAGCCUAGUUCUACUAUAUAUAUAUAUAUAUAUAUAUAUAUAUGCACGUGAUAACUGUAAUUUGAAUCUGUACGCAGUCUAUAAUUAAAAUUGUUGAUAUAAUUAAUAUUUGGGAAAACUUCAAAUACCAUCGCUAUGGUUUCACACUUUCUAACUUUAGUAUUUUAUGGUUUAAAGUGUAUCAAUUUAGUAUUCCGUGGUUUUAUUUUUAUCUUUUUAUUAUCGAUUUCACUAAUUUUUUUCGUUAAAUUAGUAACAAAGUUAAAACUAAAGAGUACUAAAGUGAAUAUUCAAUAAACCUAGGUAGGAUAUCUGAAGUUUUUUGUAUAUAAUUUAACGAAAUAUUAACGGAGAAACUGACAAAAAGAUAAAAAUAAAACCACAGGACACUAACUUGAUACAUUUUAAACUACAGGGUACUAAAGUGAGAAAGUGCGAAACUGCAGUAAUGAUAUUUUAAGUUUAUCUUUUUUUUAAUGAAGAACUUAAGUAAACAUAUGAUUGAUGAUUGUGAAAAUCCUAUUCAUCAUUAACAAUUUUGACUUAUGGGGACUUAAUUCUUUUCCCACCACAUAGGAGAUAAUGGAAUGAUCCUUUCAAACCCACUCACCCCAUCAUCAUCUUCUAGAUAGAUCUUUUGUUCUUGUGCUUUCACACUCUUUUGCUUUUUCUCUUUUUUUUCUUUUUUUUCCUUACUUUUUGAUUCUUUGAUGCCUUUUCCUUUUCCCCUUUUGUAUUAUUUUGUUUAUAGAGUUUUUUUAGCUAAUUGACUCUUGAGGUAUAUUUACAUAUGAACCCUUCUAAAAUUGUUCAAAUUGAUUUUAAAAAAAAUUUGAUAAUGUGUUAAUGACAGAAAAUGGAGUUAAAAGAGGUCUCCCUAUACUUUCAAAAUUGUGUAUUAGACAUGUGAGAGACAAAAUUUUUGUAUUCACAAGAUAUUUUAUGUCAUAUAAUUAUGAGAAGGAAAAACUUCAAAUACCACCCAUAUGGUUUCGUACUUUUUUACUUUAGUACCCUGUGGUUUAAAGUGUAUCAAUUUAGCACCCUGUGGUUCGCACUUUCUCACUUUAGUACCCUGUGAUUUAAAAUGCAUCAAUUUAGUACUCUGUGGUUUCAUUUUUCUCUUUUCGUCGGUUCCUCUGUUAAUAUUUCGUUAAAUUAUAUACAAAAAACUUCAGAUACCCUACCUAGGUUUAUCGAAUAUUUACUUUAGUACCCUUUAGUUUUAACUUUGUCACUGAUUUUUUUUCUCCCGUUAAUAUUUCGUUAAAUUAUAAACAAAAAACUUCCAAUACCCUAUCCAGGUUGAUCGAAUAUUCACUUUAGUACCCUUUAAUUUUAACUUUGUCACUUAUUUAAUGAAAAAUAUCAGUAAAAUGGAUAAUAAAGAGAAAAAGAAUGAAACCACAAGGUACUAACUUAAUACACUUUAAACCAUAGGGUACUACAGUGAGAAAGUGCGAAAGCAUAGGGACUAACUUGAUACACUUUAAAUCACAGAGUACUAAAAUAAGAACGUGUGGAACCACAGGAGGGUAUUUGAAGUUUACCCUAAGAUAUAUUGAUACCACAAAUUAUAAGUAUCAAUUUGGUACUUAAUUUUUAUUCUAGUUUAGAUUCGGAUCAGUAAUGAGUCUCUUAACAUGGAUACCUUCUAAAAUAUUUUAUGCUAAUAACAUUUUAUCUCCAAACACUACAUCCCAAGAGAGUCAAGGUCCUGCUAAAUAAAGGGAAUAAAAAAUUUUGGUGGAAAUAAUCCCCAAUAGAUGGAGCAGUCUCAAUUAGACAGUUUCCACUAAAUUUAAAAAUAUUUAUUUAUAGAGAAAAAAAAAGGAAAACUUGGCGGUGAUUGUUUUCAACUGCGUCGUUUAUGUAAUGAGACGACAGAUAUAGUGGUCUCACAUUAGAGGCCGUCGGAAAAAAAAAAUUAGUGGGGUAACCCCUAAUAUAAGAUUGUUAUCUAUCUUAUUCAUAUGAUUUUGCCAUUCACUUUAUUUAUAUAUAGGAAAACUUCAAAAACCCCCUCUGUGGUUCCAUACUUUUUCAUUUUAGUACCCUGUGGUUUAAAGUGUAUCAAGUUAGUACCCUGUGGUUUCUCACUUUAUCACUUUAGUACCCUGUGGUUUAAAGUGUAUCAAGUUAGUACCCUGUGGUUUUGCACUUUAUCACUUUAGUACCCUGUGGUUUCACACUUUAUCACUUUAGUACCCUAUAGUUUAAAAACCACAGGAUACUAAUUUGAUACAAAAUCAAAACCACAGGGCACUAAAGUGAUAAAAUGCAAAACCACAGGGUACUAACUUGAUACACUUUAAACCACAGGGUACUAAAGUGAUAAAGUGAGAAACCACAAUGUACUAACUUGAUACAUUUUAAACCACAGGGUACUAAAGUGAAAAAAAUUGAGACCACAAGGGGGGUUUUUGAAGUUUUUCCUUAUUUAUAUAUUGAUGGCAGAUAAAACAAUCUCAAGAUGGAAAUAGUCUCCUCCAAAUUUUUAUGAAAAAUGCUUCGGCACCCCUAUUGUAGAUACAUUACUAUAUUGUUAAAGUGUUGACUCCCAUCCCUAGCGCAAGUGGCAAAGAGCUUGGUGGUUGGUACUCAAGGUUUCAAGUUCGAAUCCUAGUUGAUUCAUAUUUUCAGCUAAAUUUAUUUCUAAAUGAAAUAAACGAAGUGGGUAACGUGCUACCUAUCUCUCAAAAAAAAAAAAAAAUUUAUGGUGUUCAGGGUUUAGAAUUUAGAAUUUAAAAUUUGUAAAAAUGUAUAAAACUUGCAUGAACUAUGGACGAUUUUGAUUCGACUACCUAACCUUUCAAAAUUUUAAUUUAGUAUCCAACCUUUCAGUUUGUCUGAUUUAAGUGAUUUGAUGACACUUUGGAUAUAAUUUAAGUUAACUGCUUAAUUUAAUGGAUUUAUAGUUACGUAAAUUUUAUAAAAUAUACUAACUAAAUCUUUAAAGAUAAAAGACACAAUAAAAAAUUUUAAGUUAAAGAGUCAAUAAUUAGCUCUAAUCAAAUAAAUUUAAAAGUCAGAUAGUAGAAUCAUUUUUUUUCAAAAAAAAAUUUAGCUAGUCUAAAUGGAUGAUAGUGUUGGAAAAUUUUAUACAUUUUUACCUUUAUUAGAAUUUAAUUAGGGAAAAAUGCAUAGAACUUACUUGAACUAUUGACCAUUUUGAAGGGCUUUUUAUGCAAUUAGCCCUUCAAAUUUUUUUCCACAAAUAGCCCCACAAAAUUUAUAAUUGCAAAACUGACCCUAUUCUUGUCACGUAAGCGCCACGUGAGCGGCUGACUAGACAUAAGUUGAACACAGUGAACUAUUCACCGUGUUUGUACACGAUGAACAGUACACCGUGUUUAAGCUAAACAUGAACUUCUACAACGUGAGACGCGCUAGUUGGAUUGGUUUAGUUCUUCUGAACAAAUUGAACAAGGUGAAUCAUUCACCGUGUUCAACUUAACCCUUGGCCCCAACCGCUCACGUGGUGUUGAUGUGGCGGGGAUAUGGUCAAUUUUGUCAUUAUAAAUUUUGUGAGGUUAUUUGUGAAAAAAAAAUUAUAAGAAGGCUAAAUGCAAAAAGAGUCCCAUUUUGAAUCUACUAUCCGAUCUUUCAAAAUUUUGAUUUUACUAUUUAAACUUCUAAUUUAUUUGAUUUGAGUUAGCCAACGACACUUUGACUUAAAAACUUGAAUGCGUCGUUUAUGUUUAUAGAUUUAGUUUAUAAAUUUCAUACAAUUCUAGCAACUAUAAAUUAAUUAAAAUUAGAAAUUAGCUUAAAGUUUAAAGGCAAAGCAUUAUUUACUGACUCAAAUCAAAUAAAUUAAAAAUUUGCAUAGUAAAAUCAAAAUAUUGAAAGGCCGAAUAGUCAAUUCAGAACAGUUCAUAGUUCAGAUAAGUCUCUUAUGCUUUUACCGAAAUAAACGAUAUUGCUAACAUAUAAAUAAUACUGGGUUACCCAUAUGGAGAUAAAACUUCAACGAGGAGCUUCCCAACAAGAAUGACGUCUUGUUUGCGGAGCUCCUGAUUUGCUGCCACAUAUUGCUUCUAUCAAAUACUUUGUUAGAUUUUAUUUAAUACUAAAUUCAAUUUUUUAAAAAAAUUUUAGAGAAAAUAAUUAUAAUCGUUGAAUAAAAAUAAAAAUUUUUAAAAAUGAUAAUGAACUAAAAAGUGGUUAUCCCUCUUAUACCCAAACAAAAAAAAAGGAGUCAGAAUUAAAUUAAAAAAUUUAAAAUUAAAAUUUUAUAAUUUGUAAUCUUAAAAUUAAAAUUUUAUAAUUUUAAACUCUAAAUUUUAAAUCUUAAAUUUUAAAUUGAUACUUUAAAAUUUAAAAUUCAAUAUUUUAUAUAUUUAUAUUUAGAUUUAAUCUUAACUUUAAAUUUUCAAAAUAUAAAAUUUAAAAUUUUAAAAAUUUAAAUUCAAAUAUAACAUAAUGGGCAAUAUUAUUGUUUUUUAUUUAUAAAUACCAACUAUUAUUCUUAUUCUAUCUUAUUUAUCCAAACGCUAUUUUUCUUAUUUUCGGAAACAACUCAAUUUUCAUCCAAACAUAAAAUUAGUUUAAUUUUUGCUGAUAUCCGAACUUGUACUUAUUCCUGUAAUAGGCAGUUCUUACUUAUACCCGAAUCAAACAAAAUGUUUAAUGAGGCGUUGUUGUUAGCUCCGUAUUUAGUGAUGUCAAUGGGUCGGAUUCGGGAUGGAUUCUUAAAAACACGAACUGAAACCCGACUCAAAACUCGAAACCCGAACCCAAACUGUGAAACAACCGUUGUACUCUAAAAACUUAAGCUGUUAGAGAAUGGUGUUUAAACAUUUUUAUAUUUAACACUCCCCCUCAUGUCUGGGCUCGAGACUUUUUAAUCGGCUCAUGACGUGGGCUUGAAUUAAAUGGGAGGGCGUGAUUCGAACUCAGAACCUCCUGCUCCGAUACCAUGUGAAACAACCGUUGUACUCUAAAAGCUUAAGCUGUUAGAGAACGGUGUUUAAAUAUUUUUAUAUUUAACACGAACCCAUAUCCAAACCCGACGAUUUUAAAAACCCAUAUCCAAACCCGAACCCGACAAAAAAUUCAAAACCCAAACCCGAACCCGAACCCGAAAAUUCGAAUCCAAAAUAAUUAUUUCUCUUUUCAUUCAAAAUAUAUAUUAUACUAAAAAACUUUAAAAUAUAAAUUCAAAUAUAUCAUUAAUUUUUUAUAUAUAAAUAUUAUAUAUAAUGUAAAAUAAAUUCGGAUUCGGCUCUGGUUUAGGUUGGGGUUGGGGUCGACUGGUGGGGUAUAGCCAAAUUUUAUAUAUGUCAAAUUUUUUUUUUUUUUUUUUAGAUCUAAAAUUAUUUCUAUUUUAGUAUAUGAUAAAUUUACUCUGUUCGGAUUCGAAUUCAGAUUCGAAAAAAAUUUCAGACAUCCGUAUCCAUUCACAUCACUAUCCGUAUUAAUUUUCAUUCCUGUAGUUUCUAUUCAGAAAAAAAUUUAAAAUUCCAAAAAAGAGAGGGAGUCUCGAAGACCGAAGACCGAGGCGACAUUCACAUUCACAUUCACAUUCAUACACAUAUAAAUAUAAAUAUAAAAUAUAUAUAAAUAAAAUUAAAAAAUUAUAUCUUAAAAAAAAAAAGAAAAAAACUCAAAGCGGUUUUCUCCCUCCCUCUCCCUCUCUCUCUCUCUCUCUCUCUCUCUCGCGAUCGAAUUCUCUCUCUCUCCUCCUCUCCCCGCUUCUUCUUCGACUCAGGUUCGAUCCAGAAACCCUAGAAUCCCCUCGGAGGCGAAGACGAAGUCGCCGCCGCCGCCGCCGCCUCAAUCCCGGGUUCGAUUACUUGCCCUGUUUCGUUCUUUUUUUUGGUUAUGUUGUGUGGAAUCGAUCGAAUGGUGUUUCAGGGCUUGUUUUGAUUCGGUUUGGUUCGUUCUCUGCUCCGGAGAUGCUGGGGACGGGGUCUUGUGUUGAUUUAUAGGGUUUUGCGUGUGAUUUGAUCCUCUUUUCGUUUUUUUCGAUCCCUUUUUACGGGAGUUGUUAUUAUGUUAUAUACGCGUGAAUUGAGUUGAUUUUAAGUGGAUGUAGUUGUGCUCGUAAUCCGUAUGAGGAAAUGCUCUGGUGAAAGCCUCGCCUUUUUAGGCAUGCUAGAAGCUCACAUGCUUCUCUUUUCAAAAUUUUGAUGCAUAGGAAUGCUUUAGAAUGCAUCGAAUUAGUUAAAUUCUCAUUUUGAGGUCAUUAUGGUAGGAUUGUACGAGUGCGAUGCGCAGAGCACCCAUUGCAUGCGAUAAUUUCGUCCCGAACUAUAGUGCAUGUUGAAACCAGUACUUGAACUUUAAGGGCUCGUUUGGUAUCAUGUUUAUUUUUCAUUUAAUAGAUAAAAUCUUUUACAUAAAAAACAUGUAGAAGUGUAGUUCAGUGGAUUGCUUGCAAUCUUUUCAUUCAAGAUGUUUUGUUUGCAACAAAAAAUAAAAACUUGGAAACUACUUACUUUUUGCUUCCAAUUAUUUCUUUUCUUAAAGAAGUUGUCAUCUAUCACGUGCCUGGAUGCAUCGCUAAUGAAUCACACAACAGAGAAAAAUUCUUUUGCCAGUACAUCUAAUUAUACAGAAUUAGUGUUAAAAAAAAUAAAAAAUUGACAACAAUGCCAUACGAGGCCUUAAAAUUUUAAUUUUACUACCUAAACUUUCAUUGUUUCUGAUUUGAGUAAAUUAUAGUGUCCAUCGACGAUGUUAUGGACUACACUGUCGAGUGAUACAACAGGGUACACAGAUUGGAAGGUUAGGGAGUAGUAUAAGGUGAGGUAGUGUACUCAAAACUAUUCAAGUUCAGGUAUAUGUUUUUACCUUCUGCAUAUGAACUGUGUUUUUACUUGUUAUGGUAAUAGUCCUGAUUUACUUUCUUUUUGUUUACAGAGUUAAGAGGGUGGUGUCAUUUAUAAGAGAAUGGAACCCAAUGGGAAAGACAAUCUGAAAGCACCACUACUUCAAACUUCAGAAAAUGUUUCUGUUACUUCUCCUGGAGGAUCAAAGAAAGAUGAAAAUAAGACCAAGCAGGUUGAGUUCAGGAUUCGAGGUAUAAAAUGUGCUUCUUGUGCAGUAUCUAUAGAAUCUGUGGUGGCGAAUAUGAAAGGGGUUGAGAGCAUCUCUGUGUCGCCGCUUCAAGGUCAAGCUGUGGUCUUUUACAAGCCUGAACUGACGAAUGUAAGUAAGGUUAUUAAACUAGGGGUAGUAUAUGAGCUCUUUCUCUAUAAAUUAGUCUUCUCAUUCUACUUGAUUAUUAUUAUAAUUAAAAGAUUUGAAUAAGCAACUAAAUUUGCUUAGGAAAGUUGACUGUCCUUUUGAUUUAUUGCAGUGUGGUUAUGGUAAACCAUUUAUGCAGAGUCCCAAGCUUAAUGCUUUUCCAUUUAUCGCCAUUCUUUAUUCUUGUCAACCGACUUUGAAUUCAGUUCUAAACAAUAUUACUUUGUUAUCUAAUUAGUUCAAUCUGUUUCCCUGAUUAACUAAACACUAGUUUAGUGUUAAUUUAUCGACUUGUAGUGCAUAUAUGGCAUUAUAAGAAAGUCCAUGUACUGAUUUUGUUAUUUAUUUUUCUUCUUUUUUAUUGAUCUCUCUGGAAACUGUAUAUACAUCAAUAUAUCGUGUCUUGUCGUACAUUCAUUUCCUACUUUAUUUUUACGAACUUGCAUAUCUUUGAAUGAUUUGGAUGAAUUGAUGGAGGUGUUUGGUGAUUUCAUCAAUGAUGAAACUCGAUUAUCUGGAAGACGAAUUAUGAGAUCGCCGUCAUUAAAAGCUCGAACUAAAAUGGUUGAUUCCAUGUUUAGUACGAUUUCACUUCUUCAAGAGAUGCACUUCCUUUUAACAAUAAAAUUUCUUUUGAAUUUUAAAUAUUUUACAUUUCGAGAAAAGAUGCUAGUUUCAGUUUCUAAUCACCUGUGGACCUUCCCUGCACACUUUCUUUGCACUGAGAACUUACUUUCUUAUCUCCAGGCACAAAUGAUAAAGCAAGCCAUUGAAGACCUGAACUAUGAAGUGGACGAGUUCCUAGAGCAGGAAAUUGCUGUAUGCCGCCUUCGAAUUAAAGGAAUGGCCUGCACAAGCUGUUCCGAAUCUGUUGAAAAAGCACUUUUGAUGGCUGAUGGGGUCAAAAAAGCCGUAGUUGGCCUUGCCCUUCAUGAAGCCAAAAUCCACUUUGACCCCAAUAUUACCAAUGCUAAUCGUCUCAUUGAGGCUAUUGAAGAUGCUGGGUUUGGAGCUGAUUUAAUAAGCUCAGGUGAUGAUGUGAACAAAAUUUAUUUAAAUGUUGAUGGCCUUCGUUCUUUAGAAGAUGCCAACCUCAUUCAAUCAGUGCUUGAAGCUGCUGAUGGUGUGAAUACUGUUGAAUUGGAUCCAUCAGGCCAGAAAGUGAUUAUAGCCUAUGAUCCCGAGCUGACCGGCCCAAGAACACUUAUUCAAUGCAUUGAAGAAGCAGGUCCGUUUCACGCGACCUUGUGCACACCUACGAGGCAAAGAGAAACAGAACAGCAGAAUGAAAUUAGGGCUUAUUGGAACCAGUUUCUUUGCAGCUGCCUGUUUACAGUCCCUGUUUUCUUGUUCUCUAUGGUUUUGCCUAUGUUUUCUACUGCUGGGGACUGGUUGUCUAGUAAAGUUUACAACAAUCUGACUGUUGGAAUGCUGCUGAGAUGGGUCCUUUGCACUCCAGUGCAAUUCAUAAUCGGCUGGAGGUAUGGAAUCUGCAUAUCUUAUUGGGGCUUUUUAUGUAUAUAUCCUUGUAAACUUGUCAGUUUACACAUGCAUUUUCUUUGUAAAACCUGAAAUUUUAUACUUACCCCUUGAAGUUGCAUUUUCUUACAAAAAAAAACCUUUAUCUUAACUUGGGGAAUGAUUCAAUUCAGGAGGAGAGUUGGCUUACAUUAGAAAAAUGAUUUUUAAAUCGAGGCAUUUUUGUAAGUAGAAGGCUCUUACUGAUAUGGAAUGAUAAUAACUCAUUGAAUUGAUUACAUAUUAUAAGACUCUCUCUUCUGUUGGUUGGCGUUAAAUUGGAGAAUAAUGACUUACCGGCUCAUUUCACUAUUUAGCAUUUGAUCCAAUGAAACACUUUUUAUAAUUAGUGCCAUAAAGUCACCUAUUUGCUUAGUUUUGGAUUACUUAAUAGAUGAUCAUGAUUACUAGUUAUUUGAUGGCAUUUACUGGUUCUUCAGAUUAAUGAUAUAUGGUGUUACCAAGAAUCUGCGAUGUUAGUAGUUGGUGCCGGAAUGGCCAUCACUAAAUCAGUUUUGCUUAAUGUAUCAAUUUACAGAGUGCCCUAAUAUUUGGGUUUUUUUUUCCCCCCCCAAAUACAACUCAGAUUCUACAUUGGAACUUAUCAUGCACUAAAACGGGGAUCAUCUAACAUGGAUGUUUUGGUGGCAUUGGGAACUAACGCUGCCUAUUUCUACUCAGUAUAUAUCGUGUUAAAAGCACUAACAUCACAAACAUUUGAGGGAGAGGAUUUCUUCGAAACUAGUGCUAUGCUGAUAUCUUUUAUUCUGCUCGGAAAGUAUUUGGAGAUUAUGGCAAAAGGGAAGACGUCAGAUGCUCUGGCAAAGUUAACAGAUCUUGCGCCUGAUACGGCUGUUUUGCUAGAUAUGGAUAAGGAUGGAAAUGUCAUUUCUGAGAUGGAGAUUAGCACUCAGUUACUUCAAAGAAAUGAUGUGAUCAAGAUUGUUCCAGGUGCAAAAGUUCCAGUUGAUGGGGUAGUUAUUAAGGGUCAAAGUCAUGUGAAUGAGAGCAUGAUAACUGGAGAGGCAAGGCCGAUUGCGAAGAGACCAGGAGACAAGGUUUGAUCAAAGUAUCUUUGUCAUUGUUUGUUGUUUCAGAAUCUGUUAGUAUGGCUUGUUUGAGGAUAUGUUAUUAUUAUUGUUAUUAUGACUAAACUACAGGCCUAAAUUUACGUCCUUCAAGAUUUAGACCUUUAACACUAUAUCUUCUUCCUAACACAUUUUUUAUUCAGAACUAUUAGGUAGUCUUAAAUAUUAUCUGAAUUAUCCAUUGUACCCUUUUUAUGCAAGGAAAGAUUAAGUUUAAAGAUUUUUUAAGAAUUCUUAAUGGAAAAAUGUGAUGGGAAGGUGAUCAAAUGCUUAUACAUUUGUCUACGAUGAGCUUAUAAUAACUAUAUUUAUCUGAAACUUAUUGCUGCUAUUAAUUAAAAUUUUAAUUUAGCAAUUUUGUUAUUGUUUGUUGGUUCGGUAGCGAACUUUUUAUUUUUGGAAUGGAUUUUUACGGAAUCCCCAUGAAUCGGAUCAAACCUUAUUCCAUGAUAGUUCCAUAAGAUUCCUCUUUCUUAUUCUUAAGCAAGCCCCUGAGAGGGCUUAGUUGAUCAUGAUUUAUGUUUUAUCUUUCUUUUCCUUUAUGUUUGUUUCGAGAAAGAUAUCGUCUGAUUCUUUUUCUAUUGAUUCUUUUCCAAUCGAGAUGUAUGGAUCCAUGGGUCUGUGUGUCUACAUAGAUCCUGUUCAUGGAUUAACGAAAAUGUGCAAAAGCUCUAUUUGCCUCUGCCAUUCUAUGAGUCUCUUCCUUUUUGCGUAUGGCAUCGCCACUCCCUUUGGCAGCAUCUACUAAUUCGGAACUUAAUUUGAAAGCCAUAUUUCGACAAACUACUGUGUCAUAACGCACUCUGCUGGCUUAAUUGUCACUACCAGGUUAUUGGUGGUACGGUGAAUGAGAGCGGAUGGAUAUUAGUUAAGGCCACUCGUGUUGGGUCAGAAACUGCAUUAUCACAGAUAGUUCAGCUAGUGGAAGCUGCUCAACUUGCAAGAGCUCCGGUUCAGAAGAUAGCGGACAGGAUAUCACGGUUUUUUGUUCCAACUGUAAGUUUUCUGCUGUUUUCCUUGCAUUUUAUUUGUUUUUUCUUAGUUGUCUGUGUAGAUCAUCUAGAUAAACAUGCAUUUGUUGGGAAGAAAUUCAACGGAGAUAAGUCUAUUUGGUCCAACUUUUGCUUCUGUUUUCCCCCUAGCCACCUCUAGUCGUACUUGACUGUCGAGAUUCUACCUUGGUGGAAAGCCAAAAUGAGCUUUUUGUGACUAACCCUCAAAAGUGAAAUCUCCAACUAGGAGCUUCCAUUCUUUGGCACAGGGAAGCUGUUGGAGGAAGAAUUUUUGUAAGUAGAUGAACAAUCUAGACUCUGUUUCAUUUUUUUUUUUUCAUUUUUUUCAUCAUUUCUUUGGCAGGUUGUGAUGGCUGCUUUCAUUACUUGGCUUAGCUGGUUCAUAUGUGGAAAAGCCAACCUUUAUCCAAGGCAUUGGAUACCAAAGGCCAUGGAUGAGUUUGAGCUAGCUUUGCAAUUUGGCAUCUCGGUGUUAGUUAUUGCUUGCCCAUGUGCCUUGGGACUAGCAACACCGACAGCUGUUAUGGUUGCCACAGGAAAAGGAGCUUCUCAGGGGGUCCUAAUCAAAGGUGGCUAUGCUCUUGAGAAAGCUCAUAAUGUAAGUAGCAGAUGGUCAUUAUUGAACUCAGUUGCUUAUAUAUACUCAAAAGUAUACCUGUGCAUAUAGCUCUUGAGUUAAGAGCUCAAUUUGCACAUGUAUUCUUCCUCUUAACAUUGUGUCAUAAAAACAUUAAAAACUUAAUAGAAACUCACAAAUACGAAGAUUAUAACAUAACCUUAUCACUAUAAAUAUUGACACUGUGGCACCUAAUGGUUGAUUCUAUAUAGAGUAUUUUUGGAAAAUUAAGGGCAUUUUUGUCAUUUAAUGAUUAUCCGGGGGUUUAACUUCGGUCAAAUAAAUAAUGAAUUCAUUUUGUACAUAGCUAUAUACGAAUACAAUAAACUUUGGAGGAUAUCCGCACAAAUAGACAUCUCAAAAGGGUAUGCAUGUUAAUAGAACUUUCCUUCGAGAGGUAAAAAGUAGAGAAGAAAGCCGAAGAAGCAAAUAUGAUUUUAGUUUUUUUUUUUUUAUUUUUUUUAACAUUUGUUCUGAUUAUGCUCUUUUUAGUGAUUAAUAAUUUGUUAACGUAGGUGAAAGCUGUCGUAUUUGAUAAGACUGGAACACUAACUAUCGGCAAACCUUCUGUGGUCCAAACCAUGCUGUUCUCGAAGAUGCCGUUGCAAGAGCUUUGUGAUUUGGCUGCUGUUGCAGAGGUCAGCCCUAAAACCAAAAUAUUCCCUCCAUUACUCAAGAAAUGAAUUUGAUAAUGUUCUUGCAUUCAUAGUGUAUUGUUGCAUAGCUGAGCUUAAAAGCUCCAAGUCUUUACUUUUAUGAUUUUUGCAUUCAUACCCCUGAAAAAAUUAUCUAUUUACAUUAUACACAUAUACCCUUGUUUAAUUUGAAAUUUUAUAUAUGCCAAUUUCUUAUACGUGUACCCUUGUUCUUACAAAUACACUUCUUUAAAAAAGAUUUUUAAAUGCUACACAUUUAUAUGUAUCUAUAUUAGGCCCCUUGAUUUUUUAGCUUGCUUAGCUUUUUAUUGUUGUUAUCAGAGUAACAGCGAGCACCCUUUAGCAAAGGCCAUAGUGGAAUAUGCCAAGAAGCUCCGCGAGCAAUACGGUUCCAACACUAAUCAAAUUGCAGAAUUGAAGGAAUUUGAGGUGCACCCAGGUGCUGGAGUUAGUGCAAAUAUAGGGGACAAACAAGUUUUGGUCGGUAACAAGAAGCUAAUGCUUUCCUUUAAACUGCUUUUGAGCCCGGAGAUUGAAAAUUGCAUGUUGGAGACCGAGCAACAAGCACGGACAUGCGUGUUAGUUGCGGUUGAACGUGAAAUUUGUGGGGCUUUUGCUGUGUCCGAUCCUCUGAAGCCCGACGCUGGGCGCGUUGUUUCAUUUUUAAAUUCGAUGGGUAUCUCGAGCAUCAUGGUAACUGGUGAUAAUUGGGCUACUGCUACUGCUAUAGCUAGGGAGGUCGGGAUAAACACCGUGUUUGCUGAGACCGAUCCGGUGGGCAAAGCUCAAAAGAUCAAAGAUUUGCAGGUAACUUGUUUUUGCGAUGCUUAAUUUGGUUAUUGAAAAUUCUUAUCACCUCAAGCACUCUUUCAUUUGCUAUUUUGGCCUUGUUAUCCUUUCUAUAUGUGGUUUCUUUCUUUUCUUUUUUUUUUUUUUACUCAAAAUUCAAUAUAGUUCUUUUGAAAGGAUGCCUUAUAUGCCUCUUUAAUCGCAAAUGUUAAAUCGUUAACAAGUAAUUACUGUUCUCUUUUUUCUUAUUCAUGAAUCCAUUUCCUGUUAGCGUCUUAAAUUUCAGCAAAUGGCGAUUUGCACUUAAUUCGAUCCACCUUGCUUUAGCAAACUUCGACCCUUUAAUGCUAUCAUUUUUUUUUUCUCUGGUGGAAGAUGAAUUUAGGCUUUGUUAAGAUGCAAAAAUCAUACUUGUUUUUUCCGCUUUCACUUUUCUCUUUUUUGUAGUGGUAGUGAAUUCGAUUACGUUGUCGUGAAGGAAUCCGUUGUGUGUGUGUGUUGCAUUCGUUCUUUGGUAGACGAAAUUUAAAUCUUUAAUUUCUUUUCUCUUAAUUGAAACAUUCAGGAUAAAGCUUUUUCUUGUGUAGUAGUUGUAGUGCAGACAUCGGCAUAAUUCGAAGUUUGUGUCAUCUUUUUCUAAAGUUUUUUGUUCUACAGAUGGAAGGUUUGACGGUGGCGAUGGUGGGCGACGGGAUCAACGACUCCCCCGCGCUCGUCGCAGCCGACGUGGGCAUGGCGAUCGGCGCCGGGACAGACGUCGCGAUCGAGGCGGCGGACAUCGUACUGAUGAGGAGCAGCCUCGAGGACGUGAUCACGGCCAUCGAUCUCUCGCGAAAAACCCUCUCUAGGAUCCGGAUGAACUACGUGUGGGCCUUAGGCUACAAUGUGCUCGGCAUGCCGAUCGCCGCCGGCGUUCUUUUCCCCUUCACCGGAAUCAGGCUGCCCCCGUGGCUGGCUGGCGUCUGCAUGGCGGCCUCGUCGGUUAGCGUUGUCUGCUCCUCUCUCUUGCUCCAGUCUUAUAAGAAGCCAUUGCAAGUUCAUGAAGAUGAGAAGGGCUCUUAUGAGAACUCAGAUUCGGUAUGAGUUUUAAUCUUUCAUUAUGAUUUUAAUCAAGUGUUUUUUUUUUCUAUUUUUUUCUUUCUUUUUUUUGGGGGUGAAUUACGCCGCGAGUUCCCGUCGCUAAACUGUUAUUCUCGUUACAAUUUGGUCCCAAAACUUUGAUUUAUCCAAUUUGAUAUAACAUGUCAAGUUACUAUUCCUAAACCCUGAGUCGGAAACUUCCGCUGUAAAACCCUAAAUCUCAGUUCAGAGUUUAGGAGUCAAAAGUUUUUCGGACUAAGACUCAGAUUUUCUACUAGUUUUCGAGCACCUUAAUGCGACAAAUCAAAGCUUAGGGACUAGAGUGAAAUUGGAGCAAUAUUUUAGGAACAAAUGGUGUAAUUUACCCCUUUUUUUUUUUUGGUCUUAAUUGAAACUUUCUCAAUAAAGUGGUAGAAAAUUCUCUACUCUUCUUGAAUUGGAUGAUUUUCUACAAUUGUAUAUUAUUGGAUCUUUAAAUGUAGCUUGAUCAAGUUUGAUUCUUGCAACUGCUACUGCAGUAUCUGAAUAUUGUCCAUAUUUUAGUUGGUGAAAAAAAAUGUAUCUCUACAAUUCAUUUUGGAAAUUUUGCCUCCUUUUCUUUUAGAUUUUUUUUAAUUAAUAGACUUAAAAAUUAUUAUAAUUAUAACAAAAAAUUAUUUAUAAAACUAGCUCUGUGCGGUGAAUGAAUUUAGGGAAAACUUCAAAAACCCCCCAUGUGGUUUCGUAGUUUCUCACUUUGCCCCCCUGUGGUUUAAAAUGUAUCAAUUUGUCCCUCUGUGGUUUUUUUUUUUUCUUUUUCUUAUCAAUUUCAUUAUUUUUUUUUUCUUAAAUCAGUGAUAAAGUUAAAAUUAAAGGGUACUAAAGUGAAUAUUUGAUAAAUCUAGAUGGAUAUCUGAAAUUUUUUGUAUAUAAUUUAAUGAAAUAUUAACGAAAAAGCUACCGAAAAAGUAAAAACGAAACUACAGGGGGGCAAUUUGAUAUAUUUAAACCACAUGAGAGCAAAGUGAGAAACUAUGAAACCACAUGGAGGGUUUUUGAAGUUUUCCCAUGAAUUUAAUCACCGUUUUUGAAAUGUGACAAAUUGUUCGCCGCUUUUUUUAAAGCAUUACAAUUAUUUUUAGUGUAAUAUUGCUAUACAUCCUUUGUAGAAAAUAUAUAAAGUUAGGGGAUUGACCUCUUUCUAAAAUAGUAAAUUAUUUAUCUUUUAAGCCUAAUUUUAUAAAUAGAAUUUUAGUUUUAGAAAAUACUAUAAUUAUAAAAAUAGUCCUCUAAAAAAUUUAUUUAUAAAAUUAAGUUUAUGCGGUGAAUGAAUCACCGUUUUUGAGAUGCGACAAAUUGUUCACUCCCUUUUUUUAAAGCAUUAUAAUUAUUUUGAGUGUCAUAAUGCUAUACAUCCUUCUUAGAAAAUAUACAAAUUAGGGGAUCCACAAUUUUCUAAAAAUAGUAAAUUAUUUAUCGUUUAAGUCUGAUUUUUUUAUAAAUAGAAUUUUGGAGGACUAUUAUUAAGGUAAACUUCAAAUACCCUUCUUGUGGUUUCACACUUUCUCACUUUAGUACCCUUGGUUUAAAGUGUAUCAAGUUAGUCCCUGUGGUUUCGUACUUUCUUAUUUUAGUACCAUGUGGUUUAAAGUGUAUAAAGUUAGUACCUUGUAGUUUCAUUUUUUUUCUUUUUAUUAUCCGUUUCACUAAUUUUUUUUGUUAAAUCAGUGACAAAGUUAAAAUUAAAGGGUACUAAGGUGAAUAUUUGAUAAACCUAGGUAGGGUAUCUGAAGUUUUUUUGUAUAUAAUUUAACGAAAUAUUAACGGAGAAAAAAAAUCAGUGACAAAGUUAAAACUAAAGGGUAUCAAAGUAAAUAUUCGAUAAAUUUAGAUAGGGUAUCUGAAGUUUUUUGUAUAUAAUUUAACGAACAAAGGAGCCGACGAAAAGAGAAAAAUGAAACCACAAGAUACUAAAUUGAUACACUUUAAAUCACAGGGUACUAAAGUGAGAAAGUGUGAAAUCACAUGGUACUAAAUUAAUACACUUUAAACCACAGUACUAAAAUGAAAAGGUGCGAAAUCACAGAAGUGAUAUUUAAAGUUUUUCUUUAUUUUUAUAAUUAGAAAGUUUAAUAGAUCUAGCAGUCCAAAAACUCAGUAUUCAGAUCUCUUUCUCGACGAGAUUGUGUAUGAAUUUGUAUCGAACAGAGAGAUUUUUUAUAUUUAAUUUAAAAGUUCGGAGGUCAUAAUAAAACUUGAGCAAAUGUUCAGAACUGAAAUAUUCUACGCACGUAGUUGUAGGGAAUAUGCAUCCCUUGUUAGGGGUAUUAUUUGUCACCAUAUGAUAACCAUAUUACUUGAUAAAGAGCAAUGCUAUUAUGCGCAUUUAUAAAAUAAGUAUAAGAUUCACAUCCUACUAAAAAUUUUGAAUUCUUAAAUAAUGAUCAUAAUAUAUUUUUAUUUUUUCAUUAAUAAUAAAUAGGUAUAAAUGUAUAAAACUUAUCUCAGUUAUCAUCCAUUUAUAUUUGGCCACCUAACAUUUAAAAACUUUAUUUUAUUAUCUGAUCUUUUACUUUAUUUGAUUUGAGACAAUUAGUGAAUGUUUUUAUUUGAAAAUUUUAAUAUAUCGUUUAUUUUUACGAAUUUAGUUUCUAUAACCUUAUGCAAUUUACAUAACUCUGAAUUUAAUAAAAUAUAAGCAAUUAGCUUUAACUUUAUAUCUGAAAAGUUAUCAAAACACUUAAAUUAAAUAAAUUAAAAGAUUUAGAUGCUAAAAUUAAAAUUUUAAAGAAUUAGACAAUCGAAUCAAAAUGAUCUAUAAUAAUGCAAAUAAGUUAGUGAACUUGUUUUCAACAAAUGUCAAAGUCAAACUCUUCUUCUACCUUAUAAACCGACCGGUUUCAUCGGACCGGAAUCCGUGGCCGGUUCAUCCGGAAACGUACAAAACCCGGUCCGGUUCAGUACCCGAAACUAUAUAUAUAUAUAUAUAUAUAUAUAUAUAUAUAUAUAUAUAUAUACACGCAGGGGUAUUGUCGUAAAUGAACACAACAUUAUCGUACCCCUCAUUCUCUCUCUCUCCUCGUUCUCUUCGAACAUCGCCAUCUCUCUCUCUCUCUCUCUCUCUUCGACCUACGAUUGGAUCCUCUUCAUCAUUGAUUCCCCCCAAACCCUAAACCCUUUCUCCGUUCCCGAUUCGAUUGCUCGUGUACGAAACCUACCAUUUCGAUCUCAUCUUCGGUUAGUCCUACCGCAGAUUGGGAUCGUGUAGGGUUCAGGAACGAGGUGUUCUUCGGAUUUCGAGGGUUUUGGAGGUGCGGGGGCGAUGGAUUGGUUUCAAACCGUAAUUGGAACCCUAAUUUGGAGGAGCUAGAGGAAGAUGAAGGCCUAGAAUCCAUGGAGAAUCCGAUGAUGGGCGGAGGAGGCGGGGGCGGCGGAGGAGGAAUCCUCGACUUCGAUCCCCACCACCACCACCACCACCACCUCCGCCACCUCGUCUCCCACCUCCCCCCCACCGCCGCCUCCCCCAGCGAUGACGACGACCCCACCGCCUCCGCCGCCGCCGACGAUGACGGCCACGGGUACGGCGGCGGCGCCGAUGCCGCCCGCGGCGGAGCAAAGAAGGGUGGGUCCUCCUCCUCCGCGCCGUGGCAGCGCAUGAAGUGGACCGACGAUAUCGUCCGCCUCCUCAUCCGCCUCGUCGCCCUCGUCGGCGACGACCCCGCCGCCGCCACCGAGUCCGAUGGCGGCGGCGGCGCCCCCUGCUCUCGCCGCAGGCCCCACGGCGGCGCCGCCGCCUCCUCCUCCUCCUCGUCCUCCGCCUUACAGAAGAAGGGCAAGUGGAAGACCAUCUCCCGCCUCAUGCUCGAGCGCGGCGGGUGCCGUGUUUCCCCCCAGCAGUGCGAGGACAAGUUCAACGACCUCAACAAGCGCUACAAGCGCCUCAACGACAUCCUCGGCCGAGGCACGAGUUGCCGCGUUGUCGAGAACCCUAGCCUCCUUGACUCCCUCACCCAUGUCACUGCCAAGGGCAAAGACGACGUCCGCAAGAUCCUCAGCUCCAAGCACCUCUUCUACCGCGAGAUGUGCGCCUACCACAAUGGCCAGCGCAUCCCCUCCUCCGCCUGCCACGCUGCGGACGUCCUCCAUCCCCCCAAGCCCGCCAAUGAUGAUCAUGGGCAGGAAAAUGAUUGCGACGAUGAUAAUAAUGGAGAUGAGGAUGAGGAUGAGGAUGAUGAUGAUGAGGAGAAUGAGGAUGGGGAUGAUGUAUAUAGAAAGCGGGGGUUUGAGGGCUUCGAUGCUGAUGUGGGCGGUAUACCCCCAUCGGAGCUGAGGGAGUGGUUCAAGAAGAGAGCUUUGCAGCUUCUUGAGGAGCGGGUGGGGAUUGAGGCUGAGGGUUUUGAGAUCGAGAAGCGGCGGUUUAAGUGGCAGAGGUUUAAGAGCAAGAAGGAUCGGGAGCUUGAGAGGUUGAGAUUGGAAAAUGAGAGGAUGAUGUUGGAGAAUGAGAGGAUGCUGAUGCUGGUGAGGCAGAAGGAGUUUGAGUUGAAUUCGAAUCCGGAAGAAGCUUCUGGUGGCGGAUAUCGGAUGGAGGUGGGGAGGGUUCAGUAAGAUUUUCUGGUCACUAUAACUUUUUGACUUGCCUUAAUUAUUGAGAUUGUUGUGCUUGAAUAGUUGGGGGAGGAAUGGAUCUUUAAUUACUACAUCCGACACUGUUUGUGUUGUCCUGUAAAAAGUUGCUGUCUAGUUCCCUCAAUUAUAAAAUUUUACUGUUAAAUUAUUCAAGACGUAGAACCAUUCUUGCAAUUUUAUGUCCUACAAUGUGUAUAUGAUGGGAAGCAAUGGCCAGAGUGAUGAAAUUAACAUUUCAGCGGAAAUGUCUAAAUUUUCACUGAUGAAGUCAGUCGUAAUUGAUUUGAUCUUGUCGUAGAACUUCCAAAACAAGUUUGUUAUAUUACGCUGCCUAUCUUCAACUUGUGAGGGGAGAUUGCUACUAUCCUGUAUGUUUCUUCAUAUAUUUUGUACUUUAGUCUCUUGGUAGCUGCUUUUAAGAGAAUAAUCCCUUAUAAUCGUGUAAUUUUGUCUUACUUUGCAUUGUGUAUUCUAGUUAGUCCUAGGUUGUCUAUAAUCAAUUGAUUUUAGUAUUUAUUUGGAACCUCUUCUCAAAUACGCAAGUAAUCAUGAGCUUUACGUUUUGUUCAUUUGAAGAGAUUCUCCUGUCAUGGGAUUUCUUGUUAUUCUAGUGGACCUCUUUUGUGUUGUCGUUCUUUUUGUGAUCUUUCAUUUGUGAUUUUUUUUAACGUAAGAUCAGAGGAUGUUCUUCUAUUCUUAUUAAUCGUAUAUUAAGAUGCAGAAUAUCGAUUAUUAGGAUAUCUGAUAAUUUGAUUGAGGGUCGGCAAGAUGUUGCUAUUGAAUAUUGAUUAUCGAUGAAAUAUUGGUAUGAGACUAGAUUCUUGUAGUUAUUUAAUAGUUCAAGGUCUGUUUGGAGGCUAUCUCAUUAAUGGGUUAGUUUUGAUUGUCAAUAAAUCUGUAUUCUUUGAGGCAGAUAAACUUUUGAGGUUCGUAAUACGGUAGUUUGAUAAUUUGAAAGAACCAUAUAUCAUUCUUUUUGUACCCUUGGUAAUGCUCUUGCUUUUGUGACAUUCAUCUUAUCUGCUUUCGCAUCAUCUCAUUUUUGAUGGUUCGCAGUGAAUGACAAUAUCUAGUAAUAUAAGCUGCUCACCUUAUGGUUUCUUUAUAUGAACCCAUUUUGGCGGUAAUGUAUGUAUAUCUUCGAGUAAACAGUUUUGAGGCUUACCACAAUUCUGUUUGGAGUUCGUUAACUUCCUAUAUGUACUACCUGAACUAUAGCAUAAUUGGGUAGCUGAACAUUGAGGCCUUGUUUGGUUUUGUUGCCAUUGUCUUUAUUUUUUAAAUACAAAUUCUAUAUAUGUUGGGUGGAUGGUGGAGUGAGUCUGUACAUUUAAGAGGUUUGUUUAGCAAAAAAGGGAAAAAAGAAACUCAGUAUUAACUUCUUUUACUUUUAUGGUUGUUUGAAGAUGAUGCCUUUCGGCAUCCUACUAGGUUGCAUUUAGCCAAUGAUGACAAGAAUAGGGAAGUCCAUCUGUUGACACUAGGGCUGUAAACGAGUCGAGCUCGAGCGAGCUGGAGCCAGCUCGAGCUCGGCUCGAACGUUUUCAAGGCGGCUCGUGUUCGGCUCGAGCUCGUGACGAGCUGGAAAACUCCGGCUCGUGAUCGGCUCGCAACUUAAUCGAGCUAGCUCGUGUUCGGCUCGUUAGCGCCGCUGCUGAAAUUCGCUGCCGCCGGUGCUGUCGAAGUUCGCUGCUGCUGCCACUGCCGUUGCCGUUGCCGCUGCCGAAGUUUGCUGCCGCCGACGAAGUUCGCUGAUGGGGGUUUGCGAACGGCAAAGAAUCCGCUGCCGAGGAUGUGCGAACGGCGAAGAGUGCGCUACCGGCGUGCCGCCAUCUGGGGGUGUGCGAACGGCGAAAGUGCACUGCCGGGUGUGUGAAGGGUGAAAAAGUUGGGAAAAAAUAACUAGGGUUAGAAAUAUAGACAGUUAAAAAUUUAUGUAAUAUUAUCCAUUAGAUUUUAAUCUAACGGUUGAAAUUAUAAAUAUAAAUAGGCCUCUUUUAUAGAUAAGUUGAAUUUUAUUGUUAAAUUGGGUACAAAUUAAAAAAUAAUAAUAUAUAUUGUAUAUUUAUAUGCAAAUAUAUUUAUAUAUUUAUAUAUAUGAAUAUAAUAUAUAUAUAAAAUUUAUAUUAAUAUAAAAUAAAUAUAAUCGAGCUGUUAUCGAGCUGAAUACGAGCGAGCUAACCCUAGCUCGUGUUCGGCUUGUUUAUUAAACGAGCUGAAAAAUUCAGCUCGUGUUCGGCUCUUUACUAAACGAGCGAGUCGAUCUCGAGCUCAUUUCGAGCCAACACGCAGCUGGCUCGCGAAGCGACUGGAUUGCCACCCCUAGUUGACACUCAACCACAUAGAUUUUUUUUUUUUUUUAAUAAAAACAAAAGUCGACAACAAUGCCAAAUGAGGCCAAAAAGUCUUUCUUAUUUGUACCUUAUGUUUCGUUACAUUUUGUUUUCAGGACCUAGCAAGUUCUAUUAAAAACUUAAUGGUUUCCACUGAAUAUUCCAUCGGGAUUCAAAAUAUUGCAUCGGCAAAGUUACAAGUAUUGUCAAACUUUGACCGAGUGUGGAGAUGUCAAUGGGUAUGGAUACCUGAACUUUUAUCUGAAAACAAAUCCAAAUGGGGUGGUUUUAGUCGAAUCUAAACAGGGAUGGUUUGGUGUUGCAGGAAGAAAUUCAAAACUGAACAACUGUGGAUAUGGUUAUGGUUGUGUGUGUGUAUAUAUAUACACACACACACACACAAAGUCACCCUUCUUAAUUUAAUAGGCUCUGUAUCAAGAUUUAUACUCCAUUUUGAGUAAACAGAUUUUGAUAUAAUGGUUCUAUAUCAAAAUGUUAAUUAUAAUAUCGUCUACUUAUUGAGGAUUCAAAUUUUGUUCUGAACUUGAGUAUAAUUUUGCUUAUUGAUAGAGUUGUGAUUUGGUUUUGGGUUGACAGUUUUGUUUCAGGUUUGGGUUUUUCAGGAGAUAUAUAGUUAUAGUUUGGGGUUUUAAAACUGAACGAUUAUGGUUUCAAUUUUGGUUGGCUGGUAUGGUUUUGGUAUGUGUAAAUAGUCAACUGACCUCACCAGUUGACCUCCCUAACUGAGUUGUAUUUUAAUAAGAAAUUAUAAAAAGUUAGGUAUUGAAAUUGAAAUCAAGACUUUCAGAGUUCAGGUAUCCAUUUCAAAUUUUUUAAUAGUUCAAUUUUUUUUUUUUUCAUUUUCUAAUAAUUCCAUUCCUUCUCAGAUCCUCCAAAUUUUGGAGCAUGUAAUUUCUUUCCCUUGCCGACUUAAAUGCUGUUGAUACAAAAACAGUCUUCUAACAUGGUUUCUUGGCCAUUUAAAUCUUGUGUGUAUGAUGAAGAUUCCCAGUCUGUAAAAUUUUAACAGGGCCACUUCAACAGAAUUUGAUACGAAGACUGACCAACUAUUGAUGAUGAGGUGAGUUUUACUUUUUUGUACCAACAAUUUUUUUUUUUUUUUGGAGACAAAUCAGGGUAGUAACACUAGAGUCAGAGGGUUUACAUUGCACCAAAGUAAAUUUUUGUAUUUCAAUUUGAAAUGAACAAAAGUUAGUGAGUUUUUCUGCAACAUAACAGAAACUAUAGUUUGGGCUUCCUGUACUUUUCAGUCUGUUCUCUCACAUUCAAUCAUCUCAUAGUAGUUCUUCUGCUUGCAGCGGCGAAGCAGAUAUUACUAUUCAAGAUACAAGAGUUUUUCACUUCAAACAUUAUUAUUCACAUUCGAAGCAUACACAGAACUAUCUAUGUGUACACGAGUAGCGCCUUUCUUGUUGUUAUCCAUCACACCAUACAUAAGCAGUAGCACAUUUUGAAGUUUUUCUCUACAGGUGUUUGAUGGGGGUCUAAGGGCACUUUUUCUUGCUGCUGCGGGUGGUCAAGCUGGCAUAGCAGGGGCACUGAUCGUAAUUCCCCGAAGUGCCGGGCGGGACGCAGCUGCAGCGCGCACAGCACGUUUUACAGGCUCUCAUGCAGUAAUUCAGCCUCGAUGAUAGCUGGCACCGCCCGCUGCAUGCUGAAUUGCAGUCUGAAAAUGCCAUCAGGUAGACAUUAAACUCUUCCAUGAUUCCAUCAUUAUGCUUGCAUAGCUUACAGUAGGGAAUAUACCUUUGACUGAUAUUAAAAUUGUAGAAAAUCGAAUAUUCAGGUUUGUGUCAUUAUUAUGCUUAGAAUGAGAAGGAUUAGGUCCUUAAUGAAAGGAUUAGGUCCUUAAUGAGAGUAAACUAAAAAAUAGUCUUAAAUAUUGGUAGAUAAUGCUAGAGAAUUUGGCUCUUUUUUCUCCUGGUUCUAAUGUUUGUCAGUUAUAGUUGCAAUUAUUCCUAUUUUAUAGAAAAUAGAGAGGGUGAUAUAAUUUUUCUCAUUGUAUUGCUGCAAAUGACAAUGCAACAAAUUUCUCAUUGACUCUUAAAUAAAUGGUGAGUUUAUUUGUUAUUGAAGGCAUUUUAAAAUAUUAAGGAUGUUAGGCAUCUAAUCAAUUAUUAAGGAUGCCUCAGCUAUGUUUUGCUGCCUUGCAUGUCUACAUUAGAGCCGUCGAUGAGCCGAACACGAGCAACCUCGUCAAAACACCGAGCUGAAAAAUCUAGCUCGUGUUCGCCUUGUUUAUUAACAAGCCGAACACGAACUGGCUCACGAACAACAAGUUAGAUUCUCAGCUCUACAACUGGGCGAAAAGUUGAAAAAAAAAAAGAAAAUUAGAAUCAUAUUCUAAUAGUUGAAAUUCACAAAUAUUGGUCUCUUUACAUUUGGGUUGGCCUAAAAUCCAAAUAGUAGAAUAUAUAUAUAUAUAUAAUAUAUUAUAUAUAUAUAUAUAUAUAUGUAGAGUUGAGCUAGAAUAUCUCCAAAGCACCAUGAAGGUGGUCUUUUGAGUUUUUAGCCAUUGGUUGGGAGAGAUGUGAGGCUGAGAUGAUAGUAGUAAGGUGGUGUGUAGGUGAAAUAGUGUUUGAUCCAUAGGCUAUUAGUAAUCAAGGAGUAGAUCCAAGGGUUAGAAACUUAGAAGCACAAGGGGUUUGGUGGUCUAAAGUAUUCUAGCUCAAUUCUAUACAUAUAUAUAUAUAUAUUAUAUAUAUAUAUAUAUAUAUAAUUGAGCUCCUAUGUUUUUAAAAGUACCAAGUUAUUGAUGCUUGUAGAUUUUUGGCCAUUCUGAUUAAGAGAUGUGAGGUUAGGAUGAUGUGGGUCUCUCCUAGGGUUGAGUGGGUGGUUGGUUGAAUAGUAUAAUCUAACGCGUGAAAUGAUCAAGACGUAGAUUCUAACGGUAAAAAUUCACAACGCUCCAAGAACUUGGUGUGUUUUACAAGCACCAAUAGCCGCAGACUCCAUAUAUAUAUAUAUAUAAUAUAAUAUAAUAUAUAUAUAUAUAUAUUAUAUAUAUAUAUAUAGAGUAGGGCUACUAUACUUAUGAGUAUUGGGCCCUUUGUACUCAUAACUUGUUUCGAUGAUGGAGCUCCGAAUCGACGAUCCAUCUGUUAAAUAUGAUCAAGAGAUUUGAACUUCUAGAAAAUCAUUCGUAAUUUUCGAAAUCAUAUAAAGUCCAUCAAGCGGGCAUAAAAUGAACGGUCAAAAUCGAACGAUGUCUUAAAAAUGGAUGAUCGGAUCCUUCAAUUUAAGAUCAGAAGUUAUUGAUCUUUAUCUAGUAGUGAUAGAAUUUUCUAUAAAAAUUCAACCUAUUCGGAUUCUUUUGCACCGUUAAACUAGCAAGUAUUCCAUACCGGCUAUUAAAAAUUGUCAAUUUUGUGAGCUUUUGAUUGUAAGGUAAAUGAUGUCGAAAAAUUAUGAAAUUUGAUUUCUAAAUGUUUCAAAUGCUCUAGAUAACGUUUAACGGUGUGGAUCGUCGAUUCGGAAGCUCUAUCAUCGAAAUAACUUAUGAGUACGAGAGCGAUCGUACUCAUGAGAGUAGAGUAGCCGGACUCUCUCUCUCUCUCUCUCUCUCUCUAUAUAUAUAUAUAUAUAUAUAUAUAUAUAUAUAUUUAUUUUAGCUAUAUCGAGCCGAACACGAGUGAACUAACCCCAUCUCGUGUUCGGCUCGUUAAGAUUUUGAGCUGAAAAAUUUAGCUUGUGUUCGGCUUGUUUAUUAAACGAGCGAUCGAUUUUGAGUUCAUUUCGAGUGGAAGACGAGUUAGCUCGCAAACAGCAAGCUGGACUGCCAGCCCUAGUCUGCAUGAGUUCUUGUAUGUGUGCGCAUGUACGAUUAGAACAUUUGUGUGUUUAAUCUUUGAUUAGAACAUUAAUAUUUGAAUCUAAAGUACUAAGUAGUCACAGCCGGAUGGUUAAGAACCUGAUAUUCAAGUUGUUAGUGGAUUAGUUGGAACACAUUAAGUAGCAAAUUGUGGUGUUUAGAAUCUGAAAAAUAAGCCUUAAGAUGCUGAAUUAACUAAUUAGGAUAUAAAAAGAUGAAUUCCAACCCAUUGUUGCUAGGAGUGUCCUGGCCCCUUUGCUUGCCUGAAAUGAAUCAUAUGAAAUAAUCAUGAAUAAACAAAUGUACAUUGACAUAUGAGCGAAGGAAAUACAAUAAAAAGGUCUGCAAUCUGCAAAUAAAAUUAUGAUAUUUUCUUAUACUAGUAAGGGUUCGCUUGCGAUGCACGAGUCUACAUGUAAAGAUAAGUUUAACCUACGUGAAAUAGAAAUAAUUAGAGAACUAGCUAAUAAUAUCCUGAGGUAGAAUAGCUGCUAAUCCAAAUUCCACUAAAACAGUGUUUAGUUAUGGACAAAAAUUCUAGAAUUAUUUUAAGAAGAGUUGAGGAUGAGGGAGAGUGGAUCAAAUCCAACUCGACUUGAAUUAGUUGAACAGUUGAAGUAAUUUUGGCCAGUAAGCUUAUUAUCUGUUUUUUGCAUGAGUAAAGUUACUCUCAUCUUCCAUGAAAGAGUAAUCUCCAAUAUAUAUAGAAGUUGAAAUAGCUAUUGAAUUAUAAUUCUCUCACAUACUAACCAGUUGAUGCUCAACUUCUUCAUGUGCUUCAACAGCAAGAUGGUGGAGAGUAAAAGAGAAAGCUAGGAGAAGAGUAAGUAGAAUGAGUUGAGUAGUAGCCAUGGCAAUAGAGAGGAGAAAGAAGUAUAGAAUGGACUUUUUGUUAGUGGGGAAGUGAAUGGUGUGGUAUUUAAAAGAGAGUGGGAGCGGUGGUAACCAUGAUGAAGCUUCUGCUGUAGGGUUAUGGGAUGCACCAAAAAAGUAGAGAGGAUGAAGCAUUCUAUAUUUGUGCACUAGGGUGGCAAAUUUAGCAAAUAGGAUAAGUGGGGCCCUUUAGAUUGUUUAUGCUUUAGAUGAUGGGAGGCCACUUGUAGUGGUUGCUAUAAUUUUUUGCUUAGCUUGUGAUGAUUGCUUGGGUCUAACUCAUGGGGUGGAGAAUUAUGCUUGCUUGAGAAAGAUGUUCUUGUAAUUUGAUCUUAAAUUAAAUUUAAUAGGGACGAAAAUAUUAGUUCUGCUAUCGAUUACGACGGUACCAAGAUCUACUGUUUAGCCAGCCAUGAGCUUCAGUUCUUUAAAACUAGUUUCCCCUCGAAAAUUGUUCGAAGUUGCUCUUCGCAUCCCCUAAUUUUUUUUUAAUAUUAUAAUAUCGUGUUUCAUGCAUUUAUUUUGUAUUUUGAACUAUUAGGCAUUUUCUGUAUCAAAUUUUAGAUGACAUUUUAUAAAAAUUAAACUAUAGAUUGCAUGAUAUUAAGAAUUUCAAAUGGCUCGCUUAGGGUUCGAGCUUGCUCGAUUUGAAGUUAGGCUCGCUCCAGCUCGGCUCGAAUUAAUUUCAAGCUGAACUUGAGCCUAAAUUUAGGCUCAAAAUAAUUUCAUGCCAAGCUUGAGUUGAGGUAAGCUUGCUAAAGCUCGGCUCGUUUCCAUCCCUAGGGAAGGCCGACCAGAUCAGGGCGUUGACCAAGCCGGUUUCUUCUUCGGGACGCGAGUCGGCUCCUAGGAUGACCCUUGAGUGCGCCACUAGCGAACCAAGUGAAUCGGUUGAUGAGGGAUUGGCUCAACUGGGUUCUUCUGCCACUAUUCACAAUUGACCCAAAACAGACUCGGCUGAAUGAGCCAACCGUUAUAUUUAUCGAGAAAGCAGAAUUAUAAGUGCUGUUAUAGAAAUAAAGUCUACUCCUACUUAACCACGCCGUUAACUAUGCUCUUAAAAAGAGAAGUUAACAAGAAAAUUAUAGACUAUCUCUAAGAAAACUGUAAAUGUCGAAAAGAAAGAAAUUGAAAUUUGCUGUGAUCUCUUGCUCGUGUGAAUGACCCAUUUUAUAGACCUGUUUUUUUCCUAUUUAUAACGAUAUCUUCUCCCGCUUGCCAUUAUUGGGUUAAUCUCAUCGUGGAGGUUUCUUCGGCUAUAUUCUGAUUUCCUUAGGUUAUGCUUCGGCCGACUUCUUGCUGGUCACGAAAUCCUUCCUCCACGUCUUCAACCACUCUUGCCUAAACCACCUUUCCAUUUUAGGCGUUCUCCUCCCGGCUCCGGAUGUACCACGUGUCGCUUUCUGUCUCGCUUCCGUCACUUUACUCAUAUGGCUUGGGCUGCUCUACCAAGUGGCGCCAUUUUUAUGGCGCUAAUGCAAUAUAAAGUAUCAAGCUCCAGUUGCAUUUGCCUUUAUCCAAUUAUAAGUGGAAGAUUCUAAACUUUAUUGCUGUCAUGUACUUUUUCUUUAGAAUUCAUAAUGAUACCUAUAUUUAUGAUCUACAAUGAAAAGCUGCCCUAGAAACUUAAUCACCUGCAUUAUUGAUUACAUACCAUGCUUGCGCACUAUGAUUAAAAAAAAAGGAAAGAAAAGAAAAAAAUGCAUAGGACUUAUCUGAACUAUGAAUUAUUUUGAUUUGAAUACUCAAUCUUUCAAAAUUUUGAUUUUAGUAAUCAUCCUUUCAUUUGUUUGAUUUGAGUCAGUCAACGGCACUUUGACUUCAAAUUUUGAAUGUGCCGUUUAUCUUUAUAGGAAUUUGUUAAAGUAAUUAGCUUAAAUUUUGAAGUCAAAGUGCAGUUGGCUGAUUCAAGUCAAACAAAUUGAAAGGUUGGGUAGUAAAAUCAAAAUUUUAAAGAAUUGGAUAGUCAAAUUAAAAUGGUCCAUAAUUUAGGUAAGUUUUGUACAAUGAUUAUGGUGGGUAACACUUAUAUCUUCUAAUGGUUUGUAUACACUCCAAAAUCAUAAUUUGUAUCGUAAAUUUGCACCUUAUGUACGAUAUGUGGUCAGAUGAAAGAGUAGUAAUGCUGUAUGUAUCUUAAAAAGAUACUUUGAUGAAUCAGCUUUGAACACGUAAUACCGAGUAAUUAUAUUCGCUUUAGAGGGCUAAUGUGUGUGUCAAAUAUUAUGUUCAAAAUUUUGAAAUCCAAUCGAGGCCCAUGGGAUUUGUCGAGUUCGAUAGGCAUUGCAAAUGCCUAUCAUUCGCAAAUAUGCUCUAAACUAAUCGCUAGCAGUCUUGCCUAUAAUGUUGUGAUAUUCUGUCGUAUAUAAACUAUUAUUUGUGAAAGCGAAACGAGAAGAAAUAGUAAAUCCUUUAAGAAAAGGAACUACUUUUUCGCUUCCUAUUGUAAUAAUCAUUUGUUCUUGCACAUUAACCAUUUGAGAAUUUGCUCUUCUAUAGGUAUACAUGUGGGAUACACUUUACAUUGUGUCAUUAAACCCACCAAGAAGGGGUAAAUUGCACCCCAAAGUCCUCCACCCCUUUUAGCAAACUUUUUGCUUGGUCCUCAAUCAUUCAUUUUUUACAAUUUGGAUCGUAGUUAUCGUCCCGCAUUUCAUUUUUUCCGUCCAUUUAACGAAGUUUACGUCGAAAUGCAGAGGUCGGGGAUCAGAUUGUCAAAAUUGAAAGGCUGAUGACUGAAACUGAAACAAGAAUAGUCAGAUGCACGGAGGAGGAACGACGAGGCCGCUCGAGACGCCACCGACGACGUUGGAGCACGAAGCCAGCGCCGGCACGCUGUGCUCGAUGUACUUCAAAUUGAUGUCUCUCAGCUCCACAUUUUGGCAUGGCACAGCUUUGCUGCAUAAGAGCUCAACUGCAACCUUUGAUGUUGAGAUCCCUCUUAUGUUUCUGAAUUUGAUGUUGCUCAACUUAACCAUUGAGGGGAACUGCAAUUAUCAUCAAGCAUUCAUUGUUAAUUUAGUUUAGCAAAUGAUGUAGAAAAUACUUCGUAGUAAGACUACACAUGUAAUUUGAUGAUUUUACAGGGAGAGUUGAACUUCUGUGCUGUGCCUUUAAAUGCACAGGAGUAUUUGUAUUUGUGGCUUUUUAGCUGUCAAAUCGUCUUAAGAUCUGUGCAACACUAUUAACGGUGCGUUCCAUUAAGUCACCUUUGUUAUUGCUGCAUGGAUUUUAAGAUAGUCCGACGGCUAAAAAAUUACAAGCACGUUGAGCUCGUGAGCUUUUAAAAGCACGGGAGCUCAACUCUUGCAUGGAUAUAUAUAUAUAUAUAUAUAUAUAUAUAUAUAUAUAUAUAUAUAUAUAUAUAUAUAUAUAUAUAUAUAUAUAUAUACAAAAANNNNNNNUAUAUAUAUAUAUAUAUAUAUAUAUAUAUAUAUAUAUAUGUGUGUGUGUGUGUGUGUGUGUGUGUGUCCGAAAAAGAAUCUAGUCUCACCGUCGCGUCGCAAGAUUCGUAAGGACAGUACUUCUGAUCAAUGAUGAUGGGAUUGCGCACGUCCCGCAUCAAGAUGUCCUCGAACAUGAAGUUCGAGGCGGAGCUGCGCGGCGAGCUCUGCCACGUCUUGAUCCGGACACCGUUUGUGGUGCCCGUCAGGGUGCAGUUCCUCACGCGGAGCCCGGAGACGUCUUCCUCGCCCGCGUACUUCCCGAGGCUCCCCACGCUUAUGCCGUGGCCCGGGCCGCAGAACACUUUGGAUAUCGAGAUGUUCCGGUUGCCCGGGCCGACCGAGACGCAGUCGUCGCCGGUUGCGAUGUUCGAGUUUCUGAUGGCGACCCUCGUCGAUCCGCCGAUGUGGAUGCCGUCGGUGUUGGGGCUGUUUUCUGGGGCUUUGAUCUGGAUGUGGUGCAGGUUGAUGUUGCUGCACUUGAAGAUGAUCAUGUGGAAGAAUUUGCUGUUCAAGGAUGUGAGGCUCCUGAUGGUUGCAUUUGUCACAUGCCCAAAUUUUAUGGACUGGAUCAUGUUGAAACAGAGGUAGGGUUAGGGUUUUGUUAGUUAGUUCUCCUUGUGAGGUAGUUUUUUUUUUAAAAAAAAAUUCUCAAGAAGGAAUAUGAAGAAAAAUUAUUGUAAAAAAGAGAUUGAUUUUGGGUUAUUUGCUGUUGUUGUUAUUGUUGUUGUUGUUGUUUACAUAUGUGAGUUUAUGGAUGCAAACUUGACGGAUCUGGGGUGGGAGGGGUCCCCCUAACUUCCACUUCACUUAUUGUUGGAUUGGGGUGGAUUUGGGGUGGAUUUGGGAUGGGUGGAUUUGGGAUUGGGGUGGAUUGGGGUGGAUUUGGGAUGGGUUAAUUUUGUUGGAUUGGGGUGGAUUUGGGAUGGGUUCCCCUAACUUCCACUUCACUUAUUGUUGGAUUGGGGUGGAUUUGGGAUGGGUUAAUUUUAACUUACCGCUCCAUUUGGAGUGAAUUGGGGCAUGAGCGUUUUUUUUACAGAGUACGAAAGUGAUAUACUUUAAAUCACAGGGUAUUGAAGUGAGAAAGUGCGAAAUCACAGGAAUGAUAUUUGAAGUUUUUUCUAAAAAAAAAAUUGAAGGGUAAUAACAGAAAGAUGGGGGUUUAAGAAGCCAGGCAAAUCUUACAAUGGGGAGAGUCUUGCAGUCUUUCUUUUGAGGGCACUUGUUUUGAGGCCAGGCUGCUGCACCUUGCCCAUCAAACAUACCACCCCCUGUGAGGAGCAGCCCAUCAAUUUGCUCAAACUUGAUCCACUGCUCAUCAUUGAAGAGGCUCAACUCCUUUGGGGCCUUCAACACCCCCUUGAUUUGCACCACCACCACAUGACCCUUGCAUGGCCCCUUGAACACCAAUGGCUUGACCAUGUACACCCCCUUUGGAACAUAAACCCUAGGUCUCCCCUCUUGUGUGCAUGCCUUCUCCCAUGCUCCAAGUAAGGCCUUCCUUACAAAAUGGUUUGAAUCAAAAUUCAAAAACAACAUUUUGUAAUCAAUGGAGUUAUGACAUGUUUAGCAAGAUGUUUUAAAGUCGCUUCUUCAUUUCGGGAGGUAGGAAUUAUAUAUAUCUGAUUAUAAACAGUCUCGAGCUUCUGCUGUGGGAAAAAGCUAGCUGCAAUAUAUAAACUCUAGGGCAUCGCACGAAUCAUUCUAUUAGUUACUAUCAUAUGAGCUAUAAUUUGAACCAAACUUUUGGCUCAAAAUUUUAUAUGGAAUUUUCUUAAAAACACAAAAAACUACAUUCUAGCAUUGAAGAUUGAAACUUCAGCCAAAAUUUGCAAUUUGCUUACCUGAGAACUAUCCGAUUCGCCAUCGGCGACGGCUCCGAAAUCUCUUACAUUGAAAACAUUGUUAGCCUGAGUUGCAUCAACAUUACAAAUGGGCAGAAGCAGAAGCAACAACAAGAAUGCCAAGAAAGGCAAUGCCAUUUCUCUCAUGGCCUUCUUCAAGCUCCAAUUCAUGAAACCACAAGAGAAAUAGCUGAUGGAGACCCUCCACCAUUUUUGGGUUUCUUUUUAUAGUUGGUGAGAGAGGGGAGUUUCUCAACUGGUGUUGUUAAGGGGUGCACUCUUUUGGUGUAUUGUUAUUUUCUCUUUUUUUUUUUUAUGUUUGGUUUUACUAUUCAUAGGAUGUCCUCUUGUCAUGUACCCACAUUUUUCUCUUCUUGGAUGCCUAAAUUUUCUCUCCUCUUGUAGUUGGUGUGGUGAUUUUUGUAACCAUUGGUUAGGGACUCAUAGAUGUUAUUUUUAUUUUUACUUUUUGUUUUUUUGAGAGAGAGAGAGAGAGAGAGAGAGAGAGAGAGAGAGAGAUGUAACAAACUAUCAGUUUCGUUCAUUUUGUAAAAACGAAACUAAGCUAGAAAUGUCAAGUAAUUAGGUUUUAGUCUGGGAUCUCGGAUACCAAUUAUAAAACCCUUAGCCAAGAUACGAUCAGUUCUCAUCAAUGUAAGUUAGAACCUUAACCAAAUGCAGUUAUUUUGAUACUUUUAAAAUUCGUAAGAAAAAAAAAAAUAAAAACUCUUUGGGACUCUGAUCCUCCAAUGCUGUAGAAUGGAGGUGGGAACAUUUAUUGUAGGAGCAUUCAAUGACAGUGAUGUAAUAUCUUAAUUAUUGUCAUAUCAUCAACAAUAAAGGGCCGUUUGGUUGCAUAUAGUUGUAAUUACAAUGCAGUUGUAAUUGCAUGUAAAUACAAAUUUGGUGUUUGGUUUGAUAUAUUUAACUCCAACUGCUACAAUAGGAACUGUAGGAGGAGGCCCAACUGCAGCAGUUCGAACUACGUCCAAAUUGGCCGCAGUUCCAAUUGCAGCAGUUGGAAAGAGUAACUUUAAAUAAAAAGUAUGCUUACCUCCUCAAUAUUUUUUAAACAAAAAUUAUUAUUAUUAUUUUUUACAUUGGAGGUAAUCUCACUAUUAUAUAUAUANAUAAUAUUGAAAAAUAAAUACUAGUCAAUUACCAAAUUUGAUAAACUCUAAACAAAAAUUUUUUCCUUAUUUAAUAUUGUUACUUAUCAAAUUACAUAGUGGCUAAUCUGACAAGUAACAAACCUUCAUAAAAUUGAAUUUAAAAUUUAAUUUGAGCUUAAACUUUAUAAUUAUAUACAUUAAAUUUAAAUUUAAUUCUAAUUUUCAGAAAGAAAAAAUUUAUAUUUAAAUGAGUAGUAUAUUUCAAUUCAAAUUGUUAAUUCAAUAUUAAAAUAACAUGAAAGUUCAAAAAUAUUAAUCUAUUUUAAAUUGUAAGUUAUGUUGUACUUAUAAACCCAACUUUUGUUAUUUAUUUUUUUUAAAAAAGGUUUCUAUUUUUUAAAUUAAAUUCAAAUUGUUUAUUCGAUGGACGACAGUGAAAACAGUAUUAAAGUUCAAAAAUAUUGAUCAAAAAUAAAUUUUAUAUUCAGAUUUUAAUUUAUAUUUUAGUUAAAAAAUAAAUUUUAUUAAUUAUUUAAACUAAAAGUUUCUAUGUUUGAAAAUUAACUUUAAAUUAUAAAUUUUGAAUUUAAUUUGAGCUAUUAUUAUUUCAAAUUAUCUUUAAAAUGGUUUUUACCUUGUUUAAAUUUAAAUAACACAUUAAGUCUAUUUGACUUGGAUCAUCGGAUCACCACGCAUGGCUCAUUUGGAAUUUAAUUUUUAAUUUUUCUCUCAAAAGAAUAUAUAUUUAUGUAUAAAUACAGGCGUAAUCUUGACCUGCACCUAUUAGAUCAAAUUGACUUUUAUAAUUUAUGUCUAAAUAGAAGCUAAUUUUGAUCAUAUAUAAUAUAUUAACUCUAAAACAUUUUGGAUAAAUUUCUAGCUUUUUUAUGGUUUAGUUCAUUUUUUACUUUGACACUCCAUGGUUUUAAAAAUUUAUUUUGUGCCCAGGCAAAAUUUACCGUAUUUUUCACUUUGCCGCCAUAUUGUUCCUUAAAAAUUUUACUUUACCACCUAUUUUGAUAUAGAGUAUUUUUGAUAAAAUAAAAAUUUAAUUAGUUGGGUUAAUAUUACACUGAUUGAGCUAUCCAAUCAAAUUAUCGUAACUCGAACAUGUCAACUUUAAUUUGGGUCGGCUAUCCAUGUUCAAAAGUUAAAAUAUUGAUAAAUUGCAUUCUUUCGAAUUGAAUUUUAGCUUUGAUCAUCUAACAUUCGUUGCCGAUUCCUCCCUGAGAUCUUUGCCGCCAUCGAUGUCGGCAGAACUCCAAAAUCAACGUCGUAGCACCACAAUAUUGAGAGGAAAAAUUAUAGGUAUAGAUUAACUAUUACUUGAAAGAUGGAAGCAAAAUGGACAGGGGUUUGGUUUGGAAGAAGAUGGGAUGCUGUGGAUGGGGAAUUUACAAAAAUAGAAUAUUGGACGAUGAAAAUGGAGAAAGAUGGAUUGUUCUAGAUUUACAAAAAUUGGGACAUUAUGAGGAUGGGAAUUUACCAAAACGCCCUUGGUGCUAACUCCGCGUAAUGAGAACAGUACUUUGCCCUUGGUAAGGGGGUGACCAGUACCGAUGGCAACAAGAGCUGGCCACCCCCUUUAAAACAAUGCAUCGCUACUGUUCAUUUAAAAAAUUCAAGGGUUAAGAUUUGUUGGCGUAUAGGAGCAUUGUUCUAAAGAUCAGAGCAUACUAAAGACGUUAAAAUUCUAUAAUACUGGAAAUGACUUGAACUUUGGAUCGACUAGGAUGGGCGCUGAAGUUGUGAUAUGGCUGUAAAUCAAGUUUAUUAAAAGUAGAAAUAUUAAUUUGUCAUCUAUUACGAAGACACCGAGAAGAUCCACUAAAUACCCAUGGGAUAAAAUUCUCGAAAAACAAAUCCAUUUCGAAGCAGUCCAAAGUCAAUAGUUUGUUGAUUGAGUAAACGAAAAGAAGGUCAAAAUGGAUGGUUUCUAGAAAUGAAGUUCCAUCAAAACUACAGAUUGUCUCUAGAGCAGGUGGCAAAAGACCUAACGGUUGAUACUUGAGGUUUCAAGUUUGAAGCCUAGAUAGCAAGAUACCCUUUUGUCCUAAAAGAAUAAUUAAUUUUUUUUCUUUCCAUCUCAUGCAUCUAAAUACUAUCUUUCCUAGGUACUAGUGAUUGCAUUGGCAUUAAAAAAUAAAAAGAAAAAUUGGGAUAAUAUCUAAUGUGUCCUUUAAAACUUCAAAUAUAUCUUAUUUACUUUUGGAGGCUCAAAAUAUUCUUAUUGAUUUUAAAAAAAUUCUUUCAAAUAUUCCCAUUUUUUCUAGGGUUUACUAGUAAGAUUGGGUUUAGAAGCGUAUAUUGGUAGUUUCAGAAUAAAUUUGAAAAUUUUGAAUAAUAGUCAGCGGUACUAAAUAAGCAAACGCCCCUUAAUAAUUUAAGUUUAGUAGUAAUUAUGUUAGAUGAUAAUCAAUGUAAGUAGCAGGCACACUCUAGAUAUGGAUUAUAUUUUUUUGAUGUUUAAUGCUCCCAAAAACUCAUGACUCUAUCAUAUUUUCUUCUUUUUAUGUGGUUUUCAUAAAAAAAAUAUUUCUUGAUCCCAAAAAUAUGUCUCAAUCUCAAAACUUUUCGCUUUUCGCUUUCCUUUUUUGGUAACCAAUUCUAUUUUGGUUUUAUUGGAGACAUGUGAAUAGAUGAUUGACGACUUUCUAGAAAACAAAUUUGAUGAUUUUUCAACAUUAUUCAUCUGCUGUUCAAGUGGCCUCACAAUCAACAAAUUUCAAUGACAUAUAUAAGGUGUAUUUAUUGCUAGGUAAACAACAUUAAAAAAAAAUCAUAAAAAUUAAUUUCUAGAAAGUUUAGGAGCACAAAUGAUGUUGAACACUGUGGAUUAUUGAUUCAUCAGCACCAUCAUCGAAAAAUGACAUGGGAGUAUUGAGGAAUUGGUACUUCUAAAAGUAUCCUAGCUCAUUUCCAAAAUCUAUGUGCGAAAUAGCAGCUAAGCAUGUUCCCAGUGUUAUGUUUGGGAAACCUCACAGAUGACCAAUUAAUUUUGGAUAAAAACGUACAAAGUUUAUCUGAACCAUGGAUCAUUUGGAAUCGACUAGUCAACAGUUCUUUGACUUAAAAAUUUGCGAUGAUUAUUUACUUUAAUAAAUUUAUAGUUGUAAGAAUUGAAUAAAGCAUGCGAAUGUCCAAUAGAUUAAGAGGGUUAGGUUUGUUAGGGUUGAAGUAGUUCGAGGAUGUGUGAUCUCCCGGGAAAGCGGCGCAUUAUAGUCACCGGCUGAACUUCAGUCUUAUUUGUCCGGUUGUUCUGAUUCUGUAUCAUUUUGUUUCAUGCAACUUAUUUUUUAUUUACUAAAUAUUGUUAGUAUUUUGAUUUAAAACAAGUGAUUUAAAACUUCUUUAUAUGCUCAUAUGUUUUAAAACUUCAAUUUGGCCUUUGGACUUUGUGGGCAGCCCACUGUCAAUGGGCCUUGCCUGGAAGCCCAAGCUUUGGUCUCUUUUCAUGUGGUGUUUAGUCCCACAUUGGAAAGAGACCCUCACUUGCUCAAGAGACCCUCACUUGCUCUGGUUUAUAUUCUACUUUAUUCUCAUUGUUACUACUUGGGAAGUGAUGAGAGUGGAGCUCUCGUCUAAAUACAUGCACGCGCGCACGGCACGAGCCGGGCCGGCGGCGCGCGUGAACCCGGUUCAUUUUAUUUUUGUUACACUUUUCUUUUAUUAUUUUAUUUUUGGCCUUACCUGGAUUAGGUCCAGAUUUGGUCCAGUCGAAGGGUCGCACCUCGGGACUCAACCAGUCCCAACGGUCUACCUCGGGAAGGUGGUCUUCCCGUUGGAACCCUUCUUUUGCUCUCCUAUUUACUAGGGUGAGUAGCUGGGUUAGAACGGUGGUGACAUACAGAAACCCUAGCCUGAGUUUCUCCCCUUUUCUCUCUUCUCCUUCUUCUUCACUGUUUUGCUGGAUCUCUGAAAAGCUGUGACGGUUCGUUCUUGCGCCACCCUGAAGCCGUGCCGACGGGGUGGACGAAGGUCGUUGUAUCGCUAGGAGUGAUUGCCGGCGCCUCGUACGUGGAGGGGCAAUCUUGCUUCUAGGACAGUGCAAUCGCACGCCUCGACUCACAGGCUCCAUCUAAUCCUUUAUUCUCUAUAGUUUUUAUUUAUUUCGUUCUUAAUCAACGUUUCUAAAAACAGUGGAUAAGUUGUUUUCAAACAAAAUUGUUUAUACAAAUAUUUGACUAAAGAUUUCGAAAGAGAACUAAUUUUUUCCAACAAAAAUAACACCCCUAUAGUCUCACAUCGGAUGAAAAAAUAAUUCUGAUUAGAAUAUAUAAGGCUUUACACACUAGUAAUGAUAACUGGGCUUAAGUAUUUUGGACCGAUGGUUUAGACCUAACGAGUUAUUAUUUCUAGCGGGUCGGGUCGUUAUACUAUCCAACGAGUUAUUAUUUCUAUCAGGUCGGGUCGUUAUACUAAACUUCGAUUUUUUUUUUUUUUUUUACCCUCUAUUGCUUUUUCUAUAUGAACAGAACAAUUCCCUUAAUAAAGGACACAGUAUCUGCAAUUUACUUAAUUUUCCCUUUCAUUGCUUGAGAAACUCAUAAACAGAUUAAAACAAUUUGCAGCUAACACCCUACAUAAAAUAAGCUGCUCUAUAAUUAAGUUGCUAAUUUAACCUCUCUCUGGUAAUUGGCCAAGUGAAAGUAGUUAACUUAUAAUGCAAUAUUUAGAACAUUUCCAAACAUAGGCAGUGUUUUUGUAUAGCAAACACACCCAAAAAAUAACAGAAGAAGUUUUGAGCACAAACAAGUCUCCAAUUCCUUCCUUCUAUAAAAGCCUGCAAAACUGAUAGCUGACAGAGGUGUAGCAGAUUAAGACAGACAUCCAAUUUGAAGAGAAGACAGCAUUCUGAUUAUUGAUUACAGAUGGGUUGUGGAUACAACAACAUUUUCGCAGUCUGCUCGCUGCUUCUGCUUGCAUUGGCUGCGAACUCGCAGGACUCUAGCCUGCAGUUCAAUGUGAAGGAUUUCGGUGCGGUCGCAGACGGUGUAACCGACAGCACGCAGGUAAGCAGUGCUAUGAUGGUGAUUCUUGUUUUAUAUAAUUUUGAAAAAAAACCUACAUUAAAUGCACUUAAUCAUCCUUGAUCGAUUAGAAAUACGUAAGAGGGUUACAUCGAUAAAAUCGAUGUUGUUAAAAAUGAAUAUCCGACGGAACUAGAGGGCACGCUAACGGAAAAAGUUAAGUACUGAUGGUGUAAGUUUUCGACCAUUCAGAUGAAAAAAUAUGCGGUUAGGAUGAAAGUGGUUACGGUUAGGUUGAUAGUGGGCCCCCUAAGGUUGAGUGGGUGGUUGGUUGAAUAGUAUAAUCUAACGGGUGAAAAUGAUUAAAAGGUAUAUCUAACGGCUAAAAACUUAUGAGUACAAUUGGCUCUAUACUCAUAAAAGUAUAGUAGCCGGACUCUAUAUAUAGGCUGGGGCUACUAUACUCAUAUGAGAAUAGAGCCCUUUGUACUCAUAAGUUUUCGACCGUUCAGAUGAAAAAAUAUGCGGUUAGGAUGAAAGUGGUUACGGUUAGAUUGAUAGUGGGCCCCCUAAAGUUGAGUGGGUAGUUGGUUGAAUAGUAUAAUGUAACGGGUGAAAAUGAUUAAAGAGUAUAUCUAACGGCUAAAAACUUAUGAGUACAAUUGGCUCCAUACUCAUAAAAGUAUAGCAGCCGGACUAUAUAUAUAUAUAUAUAUAUAUAUANAUUCCAUUGUUGCUACCAGUUUUUUAGCCCUUGGAUCAAUUCUUUUCAUAUUUCUAACCAUUGGAUUAAAUACUAUAACCCAGUAGGGACUACUCAACCCUAGGGGGACAACUCAUCUCUAACCGACUAAUAUCAUUCUGACCCUAUAAUUUUUCAUCCAAUGGUUAAAAACUUGAUAGUAACAAUAGAAUUUUGCUACUAAUAGUAGCCCAGUCCAACUCUCUCUCUCUAUAUAUAUAUAUAUAUAUAUAUAUAUAUAUAUAGUGUAGAGCUAUUGGAACCAAGAAUUUGAUGCUUCCGACUUUUUGACCUUUGGAUCAAGAAUUUUAUGGUUGGGAAGAUUGCAGUCCCCCUUAGAGCCGAGUGGUCCCCACAGGAUAAUAAUAUUAAUGCAAAUGUUAGAAAUGAUCUUGAUCUAAGAGCCAAAAAGUCGGAAGCACCAGAUUUUCUAUACUUCCGAUAGUAUAGUAGCUCUACUACUCUCUCUCUCUCUCUAUAUAUAUAUAUAUUCUUUCGAACUUUUCAUCACAUAGACAAACUUGUUUAGCGUCGUGGACGAUCAAUGACUAGUUUCUUUCCUUUUUUUUUGAAGGCAUUUCAAGCGGCGUGGAACGCUGCAUGCGCGGCGGAGGGGAAGCCGGGCCUUGUAAUCCCUGAAGGCGCCUACGUGGUCGGCCCGUUGAUGUUCAAAGGGCCAUGCAAGGGGUUCAUGGUGGUGCAACUGAGAGGCCAGCUACUAGCCUCGACCGAUCUCGACGCUUACUCGAAGAACUGGAUCGAGUUCCAGUACAUCACCGGCCUACUUGUCUCCGGCGGUGGCAGGCUCGACGGUCGAGGGGCUUCGGCUUGGCCUCACAACGACUGCCCUAAGCAGUCCCACUGCAGACUCCUGCCUAUGGUAAGUGACCGUCAGCCCGAGAAUAUAUAGUUGUAAAGUGAUAGUUCUACAACUGUUUGCAGUUGGACGUAGUCGCUUAGUGUUCGAGCUUUGUCCGGAGACCGAACGGUCGAGUGGCAUUUCCUCGGUGAGACAGCAAAUUCUUCACUAUGAACAUCUUCUCGUCGAGACAAUCUUCGCAUCUCGACUCGAUCAAGAUCACGCGGCCGGGCGACAGCCCGAACGGACGGCAUCCACAUCGGCGACUCGAGCCGAUGUCCGCAUCAACGAGCUCAUCAUCGCACGCGGGGACUGACGCGUGUCGGUCGGCCCGUGGAGGUCAAUGUGACCAUCUCCCGACGUGUUCUGCCGGCCGGGCCACGCUGGAUCACGUCGGAAGCUUAGGAGAAGAGUCCGGGCGAGAAGGACGUCGGUCGGCCUCACCGGUCAGGAACUCACUCUCACCGGCACAGACGAACGGCGUCAGAAUAAAGACAUGGGCAGUCGGACGCUCAUCGCCGGCGUCGGCCUCCGACUUUCCAUUUCGAAGACAUUGUCAUGAACAGAGUUACAACCCUCAUCAUCAUAGACCAAAAAUCACUGCCCAUUUUCUACUAUGUUCCCAAAGACAGUAAACAUCCUAACUCUACACCUCUUGUUUUUCCGCCUUCUGCUUAUCUGCGAUUUACAAUCAGCAACUGUAUCAUUUCGAAAUUUGAUUUACUGUCCACACUGCUUUCAAUUUAUUCAUUGAAAAUCAGUCAACUACACAGAAUUUGUAAUGGGCAUUUUUUUACUUUAAGUACUCUUUGCAACUAUAAAUUCAUAUUAAACAUAAAUAAUUAUAUAUACUUAAUUUUUAUUCUCGAAUUUGGGACAUAAUUACUUAAUAGUACCUCUGAUAAGUUUCUCGACCUUCUUAUUUAUCUCUCAUAGAAGUUAAUAUUAUAAACUAUAUUUUGGCGAUUUCAAGAGAUUAUUUUAAUAUUUUUUCAAGAGUUAAGUUUUGUUUAGUGAACACAUUUAAAACAACCAGUUAUUUCUUAUGAAAUCACUAUUGUGCGCCAAUUUAAUAUUAUAAUUACUAUUGUCACCAAUUUUUCUUAUUGGGUUCUUCAGUUAGAGGCAAGAGAUAUAUCUGACAUCUUUUCUAGUGUAUAGCAAAUCUAACGGUUUUUAACCUAGAAACUAAAUGGAUAUUAGACACCGGAGUUUAUUAAUGGUUUAAAGUUAUAUUAGAAGUUUGAGGGGUAUAUAGAUUUCUCUCUAAAUUUGAAGUUAAAGUAUAGUUAACUGAUCACUAACAACAACAGAAUUAGGUUAUAUGGACACAUGUUUGGGAUCACUGUUUGAGUAAGUGUCCAUUUAUGCUAAAACUUAAAAACACAUUCUACUAAUGCCUAAAUAUAAAGCCCAAUCCAACCAAAAAUAAAAGAUUACUCAAUCCACCACACCCAGUCCAUUUGGCCUGAUUACAAACAGAAAAGAAAAAAAAAAGAAAAAUCAAUUACCAUUUUUUCUUCUCUCUUCACUCAAUCCACUGAAAUUCUAGACGAAGAGCUUUUACUGUCGUCCUCCUUCGCCACCGCAGCCAACGAGAUAGAGUUUCGGCGGUUGCUAAAUGCUUAAAUAAGUGUUGGUAAAUUAGCAGCACUUUUUUAGCUUAUAGCGACACUCUUUAACUGUCACUAUAUACCUAGCGACCCCACAUAUAGCAACACUUUUUAAAAGUGUCGGUAAUUUUGUACCUACAUUUAAAAGUGUCGCUAUAUACCGUUUUUGUUGUAGUGGAUUCAAAUCAAAAUUUUGAAACAUUAAGCAGCUGAUUCAAAAUGGUUCAUAGUUCAAAUAAGUUAUGUACAUUCGUUCUGUUGUGCUUUAGACUCCGUCUCAGGUGAAGAUCAAUCGUGUAACAUUUCGCAACAUCAGAGGUACGUCUGCGUCGCCGGAGGCGAUCAAGAUGGUCUGCAGCGACGCCGAGCCGUGCGAAGGAGUCGAGCUCAGCGACAUCAGUCUGGACUACAAUGGCAGCAGAGAUGGAGAUGAUCAAGAAGAGAAAGUGUCGACUACAACUUGUGUUAAUGUUAGAGGGACUUCCAAUGGCAAUGUAAAACCUGCAUCUUGCAUCUAAUACAUCUAGCAUUAGCAUGCAUGCAACAAAUGUAGAGUAAUGUAAUUAUGAAAAUGUAAAUGUAUCAUUAUCGUGUUACUGAUCACAACUCUAUUCCAUUACUUUCACGUUGAUGACGACACAUCAAUCGUAGAAAUUUAAAUGCAGUUAUAUAUAGGAUUCAAUGGUAAUAAGCGUAAAUGUAAUACACUGAAUUUUUGCAAAUUGCGAAAUUCGAGUGUGAGGAAUGAUAUUUGGAACCCUCCCACAUAUUGAAAAGGGUUUAAAAAUGUUUACAUAUAAGUUUGAGAGUGAUCGGAAUGUCGGAAACAAGAAAGUGCAUUGAGCAGGCGAAAAUCAGCUUUUUCUGCUUGGUGUACCGGUACAGCCAUUAUGGUGUACCGGUACACAAUGCAGAAACGUGGCAGCUUGGGCUUUUUCGUAAUUUCACAUUUGACACCUACCUAUUUGAUCCCAGCACGACUCUUGGAGCUUGCUGGAGUGUGCUAGAGCCCAGAGAAGCAACCUUGCACCAUUUUCUCUCUCUCUCUCUAGGGUUUUUCUCUCUCUACAAAGAAUUCGCCGAUUUCGCUCGUUUUCGUCGUCGCGCGCAUUCUUCGCUGGUUGCGGGCGUCGCAGCGCCUUUGUGCACGUGCAAGAGAGCGUUUUGGAAGGGUUUUCGCAGCCCUGGACUAGUGGGGUGCUGGUUGGAAGCUUGAGAAGGUAAACGACUCGAUUUUCUCCAUUAUCGACGUUCGAGUAGACGNUACAGGAGAGGCUAGGGAUCGUGGCAAGGGAGUCGCGCCUAGCUAGGGACUACUAGGAGCGUGCUAGUCAAUCACCUUGCUACUCGGGCUACGGCCGAGGGUGAUGUCCUUAUGUAUAGAGAGACUACCAUUGUACCUUCUUUUUGUAUACCCGUGAUGUAUAUUUACUUUCGGGGUUGAGAUUAUAGUAGUGUUACUUCUCCUUUUUGCUGAGAUCAUGGAUUGUAUACUCUUUGUAUUUUGACUUGGAUUGGAUACUCGUGGUAUAUCGACUUGCACUUUGCUCUGAUAUCAGGAUAGGACUCUCUUGUUUUACUUCCUAUCGACUUGCUUCUUGUAGACGCCUUAUAUACUGCAGGUGUAUGGCGGGUCUGUGCACGUGCCGGAUAUGCUUCCGCUGGUACCCGGGCGUGACAGUAAAGCUUCUAUGCUAUCAAAAGUAUAGAAAAUUUGAUGUUUUCGAUUUUUUGACCAUUGGAUUAAGAAUUGUACGGUGGGAAUGAUUGUGGUCCCUCCUAGGGUUGAGUAGUAUCUCUAGGGUUGAGUGAUCACCACAGGAUAAUAGUAUUAAUCCAAAGAUUAGAAAUAAUUAAAAGAGCUGAUCUAGGACAGAAGUACUAGAUCCUCUAUGCUUUCAAUAACAUAAUAGCUCUACUUUGAUAAUAAUAUUGAAAAUUCGAGUAAAAAAUUAUAGUAAAUUAAUGUUUGAGAAUCAAAACUAAAUUAAUGUUUGAGAAUCAAAACUAUAAUUUAGCUGAAUAAAAAUCAUAACUAAGGGCAUGUUUGGUUCGAAGGAUACGCGGCUUGAAAUAAAAAUCCGAAUAAUUUAUUUCUAUUGUUAGUGUUUGGUUUAAAGGAUUGACAUUCCGAUUUACACUCGAGGGAAUUCGAAUUGCUCCAAAACGGGAAGAGAUUAAGAAAGAAAACUCCUUAUAUUUACUAAAAUUAUUUAGACUCAAAUAUUAAUUUAUAUUUAAUUUUAGAAUCACUAUAACUUUAAAUUUAAAUUAAAUAUGAAUUAAAAAUUCAAUUAUUAAAUUUAUAAUUUAAAUUUAAAUUCUUAUAUAAGUUUGAUAUUUGAAUUUAGUUUUACAGUUUGACUUUGAACUUUAAUUUAAAUUAUAAAUAUAAAAUUUGAGUUCAAAUUUAAAUCCAAUUUUGAUGAAGAAUUUGUGUAGUAUAUUUAUCUUUUAAUUUGAAUAUGAUGCCAAUCCCGAUUCAUUUUAUGGACCAAACAAAUAAAAUGUUUUCAGCAUGCCGUUUUCGAUUCCAAUCCGUUUUCAUUUCUAUUCCGAUUUCAGCACCUAUUUCGAGCCAAUCGUACUCCAAAAUCAGACGAUCAGAUUUUAAAACCGUCUUAGUCGGGUUCAUAUUCGCAUAAUAUUUCUAACUAAAAUCUGUAACACCCAAAUAAUCCUACAACAUAUAAAAAAUAAUUACAAUUUGAUUAUGAGAAGCCUUGCACCAUCAUAAUAAUAAUAAUAAUAAUAAUAAUAAAUUUAAAUAUUUUGUGCUGCUGGUUUGGAUGCAAUGAAUUAUUAUUGUUAGCGGAUCGGAUCGUUAUAAUUGGUAUGAAAGGCGAACACUAACCGAAAGUAUAAGAAUUGUUUGCAGAUGGAACUGGACUUAAACAUAUUGGAUCCAAUAAGUAAUUAUUGCUAACGGGUUGAAUUUUCACAAAAUCAAAAUCUGAAUCCGACCCGACUUGGAAUUCUAAUCCAAAUCCAACUUCCACUCCCUAGUCCCUAGACUAGCUAGAAGUACAAAAAUUCGAAACUUAUAUAAAUCCCACCAAAACCCAACAAAACCAACGAAACCGCGGGAUGCAGCAGUCAUCAUUAAUAUUCCCUCUAUCGUAUCGCCGAUGCCAGUCUUCUCCGACGCCUGUCAGCAGGCGGCCGUCGCCGACCUCCGCCGGCGGCUGGACGGCAUAGCGCUCCGCUGCGGCUGCCUUCUCCGUCUCUGCGACGUUGUCCGACCUCCGAACCCGACGAUGACGACGGCGUGCCCCGCUCCGACCACCGUAUCUGCAAUUUACUUAAUUUUGCCUUUCAUUGCUUGAGAAACUCAUAAACAGAUUAAAACAAUUUGCAGCUAACACCCUACAUAAAAUAAGCUGCUCUACAAUUAAGUUGCUAAUUUAACCUCUUUCUGGUAAUUGGCUGAGUGAAAGUAGUUAACUUAUAAUGCAAUAUUUAGAACAUUUCCAAACAUAGGCAGUGUUUUUGUAUAGCAAACACACCCAAAAAAUAACAGAAGAAGUUUGGGUACAAACAAGUCUCCAAUUCCUUCCUUCUAUAAAAGCCUGCAAAACUGAUAGCUGACAGAGGUGUAGCAGAUUAAGACAGACAUCCAAUUUGAAGAGAAGACAGCAUUCUGAUUAUUGAUUACAGAUGGGUUGUGGAUACAACAACAUUUUCGCAGUCUGCUCGCUGCUUUUGCUUGCAUUGGCUGCGAACUCACAGGACUCGAGCCUGCAGUUCAAUGUGAAGGAUUUCGGUGCGGUAGCAGACGGCGUAACCGACAGCACGCAGGUAAGCAGUGCUAUGAUGAUGAUUCUUGUUUUAUAUAAUUUUGGAAAAAAAACCUUAACCCUCCUUGAUCGAUUAGAAAUACGUAAGAGGGUUACAACGAUAAAAUCAUUAUUGUUAAAAAUGAAUAUUUGACAGAAUUAGAGGGCACGCUAACGGAAAAGGUUAAGUACUGAUGGCAUAAGUUUCCAGGAGGGUUAAGUGCAUAUAUAUAUAUAUAUAUAAUGUAGAGUUACUAUACUAUCGGAAGUAUAAGGGGAUUUGAUUUGAUACUUUCGACUUUUUGACCCUUGAAUUAAGAAUUCUACGAUUGGGAUGAUUGCGCCCCCCCAGAAUUGAAUAGUAUUCUUAGGGUUGAGGAGUCCCCACAGGGUAAUAGAUUAAUCCAAAGAUUAGAAAUGAUCAAAAGGGUUAAUUUAAGGGUCAAAAAGUCGAAAGUAUUAGAUCCGCUAUGCUUCCGAUAUCAUUAUCGCUCUACUCUCUCUCUCUCUCUAGUCUCUAUAUAUAUUUUCUUUCCAACUUUCAUCACAUAGACAAACUUGUUUAGCAUCGCGCACGAUACGAUUGAUGACUAGUUUCUUUCGUUUUGUUUUGAAGGCAUUUCAAGCGGCGUGGAACGCCGCGUGCGCGGCGGAGGGGAAACCGGGCCUUGCGAUUCCGGAGGGCGCCUAUGCGGUCGGCCCGUUGAUGUUCAAAGGGCCGUGCAAGGGUUUCAUGGUGGUGCAACUGAGAGGCCAGCUACUAGCCUCGACCGAUCUCAACGCGUACUCGAAGAACUGGAUCGAGUUCCAGUACAUCACCGGCCUCCUCGUCUCCGGCGGUGGCAGGCUCGACGGUCAAGGGGCUUCGGCUUGGCCUCACAACCAGUGCCCUAAGCAGUCCCACUGCAGGCUUCUGCCUAUGGUAAGUGACCGUCAGCCCGAGAAUNGAGAGAGAGAGUUGGACUGGGCUACUAUUAGUAGCAAAAUUUUAUUGUUGCUACCAGUUUUUUAGCCUUUGGAUCAAUUCUUUUCAUUAUUUCUAACCAUUGGAUUAAAUACUAUAACCCAGUAGGGACCACUCAACCCUAGGGGGACCACUCAUCUCUAACCGACUAAUAUCAUCCUGACCCUAUAAUUUUUCAUCCAAUGAUUAAAAACUUGAUAGCAAAAAGAGCGUUUUACUAUUAAUAGUAUUCCAGUCUAAUUCUAUAUAUAUAUAACAAUAGAAUUUUGCUACUAAUAGUAGCCCAGUCCAACUCUCUCUCUCUCUAUAUAUAUAUAUAUAUAUGUAUAUAUAUAUAUAGUGUAGAGCUAUCGGAACCAAGAAUUUGAUGCUUCCGACUUUUUGACCUUUGGAUCAAGAAUUUUAUGGUUGAGAAGAUUGCAGUCCCCCUUAGAGUUGAGUGGUCUCCACUGGAUAAUAAUAUUAAUCCAAAUGUUAGAAAUGAUCUUGAUCUAAGAGCCAAAAAGUCGGAAGCACCAGAUUUUCUACACAUCCGAUAGUAUAGUAGCUCUACUACUCUCUCUCUCUCUCUAUAUAUAUAUAUAUAUAUUCUUUCGAACUUUUCAUCACAUAGACAAACUUGUUUAGCGUCGCGGACGAUCAAUGACUAGUUUCUUUCCUUUUUUUUUUUUGAAGGCAUUUCAAGUGGCGUGGAACGCUGCAUGCGCGGCGGAGGGGAAGCCGGGCCUUAUAAUCCCUGAAGGCGCCUACGUGGUCGGACCGUUGAUGUUCAAAGGGCCAUGCAAGGGGUUCAUGGUGGUGCAACUGAGAGGCCAGCUACUAGCCUCGACCGAUCUCGACGCGUACUCGAAGAACUGGAUCGAGUUCCAGUACAUCACCGGCCUACUUGUCUCCGGCGGUGGCAGGCUCGACGGUCGAGGGGCUUCGGCUUGGCCUCACAACGACUGCCCUAAGCAGUCCCACUGCAGACUCCUGCCUAUGGUAAGUGACCGUCAGCCGAGAAUAUAUAGUUGUAAAGUGAUAGUUCUAACUGUUGCAGUUGGACGUAGUCCUUAGUGUUCAGCUUUGUCACGGACGCGACGGUCAGUGGCAUUUCCUCGGUGGACAGCAAAUUCUUCCACAUGAACAUCUUCUCGUCGAGCAACUUCGCACUCGACUCGAUCAAGAUCAGCGCGCCGGGCGACAGCCCGAACACGGACGGCAUCCACAUUGGCGACUCGACUGAUGUCCGCAUAACAAACUCCGUCAUCGGCACAGGGGACGACUGCGUGUCGGUCGGCCCCGGGAGCGUCAACGUGACCAUCUCCGACGUGUUCUGCGGGCCGGGCCACGGGAUCAGCGUCGGAAGCUUAGGGAAGUAUCCGGGCGAGAAGGACGUCGUCGGCCUCACCGUCAGGAACUGCACUCUCACCGGCACGACGAACGGGCUCAGAAUAAAGACAUGGCAGUCGGCGCCGUCGCCGUCGUCGGCCUCCGACUUCCAUUUCGAAGACAUUGUCAUGAACAAUGUGUACAACCCCAUCAUCAUAGACCAGAAAUACUGCCCAUUUUCUGCUUGUUCCCAAACAGUAACAUCCAACUCUACACCUCUUGCUUUUCGCCUUCUUUUAUUGGCGAUUUCAACAGUAACUGAUCUUUCGAAAUUUUGAUUUUACUAUCCCACCUUUCAAUUUAUUCGAUUCGAAUUAGUCAACUACAUUUCGACUUCAAAUUUGAAUGCAUUUUCGCAACUAUAAAUUCAUUAAAAUAGAUAAUAAUUAGCUUAAAUUUUAUUCCUGAAUUUGGAGCAAUUAUUUAUAUAUUUUGGAAAAGUUUUCGAUUUUCUUAUUUACCUCUCUCUCUUAGAAGUCUAAUAUUAAAAAUAUAUUUUUGACGUUUCAAAUUAUUUUAAAUAUUUUCCCAGAGUUAAAUUCGGUUAGUGAACGGUUAGCUAGGAACAACAGUUAUUUUUAUAAAAUUACUAUUUUAUCAUUUCAAAUAUACUCUUCUAUCAUCACCGAUUUUUCUUAUUUCCUCUUAAGUUAGAGGCAAAAGAGGUAUUUGGACUUCCUUUUAGGUCUGUUAGAAAUUUAAUCCGGGUUUAAUCCGAGAAGACUUAAUGGAUAUUAAUAGCAGAGUUAUUUUUAAAUAACAGAGCAUUUCAGAAGUUUUGAGGGGUAUAUUAGAUAUUAUCUCUAAAUUUUGAAGUUAAAGUAUUGUUGACUGAUUCAAAUUAAAAUUUUAAAACCUUAAGUAGCUGAUUCAAAAUGGUUUAUAGUUUAGAUAAGUUAUGUACAUUCGUUCUGUUGUGCUUUAGACUCCGUCUCAGGUGAAGAUCGAUCGUGUAACAUUUCGCAACAUCAGAGGUACGUCUGCGUCGCCGGAGGCGAUNGUCGGCCUCACCGUCAGGAACUGCACUCUCACCGGCACGACGAACGGGCUCAGAAUAAAGACAUGGCAGUCGGCGCCGUCGCCGUCGUCGGCCUCCGACUUCCAUUUCGAAGACAUUGUCAUGAACAAUGUGUACAACCCCAUCAUCAUAGACCAAAAAUACUGCCCAUUUUCUACUUGUUCCCAAACAGUAACAUCCUACUCUACACCUCUUGUUUUUCGCCUUCUCUUAUCUGCGAUUUCAACAGCAACUGAUCUUUCGAAAUUUUGAUUUUACUGUCCACCCUUUCAAUUUAUUCAAUUUGAAUCAGUCAACUACACAAAUUUGAAUGCAUUUUUUUACUUUAAGUACUCUUUGCAACUAUAAAUUCAUUAACAUAAAUAAUAAUUAGCUUAAAUUUUAUUCCUGAAGUUGGGACAAUUACUUAUAUACCUCUGAAAUGUUUUCGACCUUCUUAUUUAUCUCUCAUAGAAGUUUAAUAUUAAAACUAUAUUUUUGACAUUUCAAAUUAUUUUAAAUAUUUUUUCAGNUCCGGGUUUAAUCCGAGAAGACUUAAUGGAUAUUAAUAGCAGAGUUAUUUUUAAAUAACAGAGCAUUUCAGAAGUUUUGAGGGGUAUAUUAGAUAUUAUCUCUAAAUUUUGAAGUUAAAGUAUUGUUGACUGAUUCAAAUCAAAAUUUUGAAACAUUAGGUAGCUGAUUCAAAAUGGUUUAUAGUUUAGAUAAGUUAUGUACGUUCGUUCUGUUCUACUUUAGGCUCCGUCUCAGGUGAAGAUCGAUCGUGUAAUAUUUCGCAACAUCAGAGGUACGUCUGCGUCGCCGGAGGCGAUCAAGAUGGUCUGCAGCGACGCCAGGCCGUGUGAAGGAGUCGAGCUCAGCGACAUCAGUCUGGACUACAAUGGCAGCAGAGAUGGACACGAUCAAGAAGAGAAAGUGUCGACUACUACUUGUGUUAAUGUUAGAGGGACUUCCAAUGGCAAUGUAAAACCUGCAUCUUGCAUCUAAUACAUCCCCCCCCCCCCCCCCCCCCCUAGCAUUAGCAUGGAUGCAACAAAUGUAGAGUAAUGUAAUUAUGAAAAUAUAAAUGUAUCGUUACUGUGUUAUUGAUCACAAUACUAUUCCAUUACUUUCACGUUGACGACACAUCAAUGGUAGAAACCGAAAUUAAGUUAUAGGAUUCAAUGAUAAUAAUAUAAAAAGUUCGAGUCAAAAAUUACAGUAAACUAAAGUUUGAGAUUAAAAAUCAUAAGUAACGGUAUGUUUGGUUUGAACGAUACGAGGCUCGAAAUAAAAAUCCCAAUAAUUUAUUUCUAUUAUUAGUGUUUGGUUUGAGAGAUUGACAUUUCAAUUUACACUCGAGAGAACUCGAAUCGCUCCAAAACGGGAAGAGAUUAAGAAAGAAAACUUCUUAUUUUUACUAAAAUUAGUUAGACUCAAAUAUUAAUCUACAUUUAAUUUUAGAAUUAUUAUAAUUUAAAUUUAAAUUAAAUAUGAAUUAAAAAUUUAAUUAUUAAAUUUAUAAUUUAAAUUUAAAUUAUUAUAUAAGUUUGAUAUUUGAAUUUAGUUUUGCAGUUUGACUUUGAACUUUAAUUUGAAUUAUAAAUAUAAAUUUUGAGUUCCAAUUUAAAUCCGUCAUAGUGGGGUUCAUAUUUGGAUAACAUUUUCUAACUAAAAUCUGUAACACUCCAAUAGUCCCAACAUAUGAAAAAAUAAUUAUAAUUUGAUUAUGAGAGGUCUAGCUAGGGAUGCAAAUGGAUCCGGGGUGGUGGAGCUCCCGCCCCGCAGUAAACGGGAGGAAAUAAAUGGAUUCGAGGCAGGAAACAAGGCAAUUUUUAUGAUCCGUGGCGGAUUCGGGGCAGGAAAAGGAAAAAUUUUUGAUCCGCUCCGAAUCCGCCCCGAAUGUAUGUCUUUAAAAUUUUUCCAUAUGUAUGUAUUUAAAAUUUUUGAAUUUUGUUGCGAGUUGUGAUUGAUAUUUUUGAUUUUUAUAGUUGAUAUUAUUAAUUAUAUAUAACUUCAUAAUAUUAUCAAUUAAUAUUAAAAAUUUUAUUGAUUUAUAUUUAUAAAAUAUUAAUAAUAUUAUAAUUUAUAAAACAAAUACUAUUUGGCGGAGCAGAUUCGGGGCGCCGUCGGGAGGCGGGUUAUAAGGCGGGGCGGAUU